rnacentral:lncRNA from 1 species
AUAAAAUACCCAACUAGGGCUAAACAGAGACAGAAUAUAUAGCCCAAAGUUACAGCUACAAUAAGGAAUGAAAACAAGAACAAUGAACAACAAGAACAAACCUGCACCCUUCACAAGAAGGAUACCCCUCUCCUAUCAGCUGCUGCUGCCUCCCUUUCCUCAAAGAUAACCAAAAAGAUACCUAUCCCUAUUUCUCAAUCAUUCUAUUUAUACUCACCCUCAAUUUCCUACCCAGUGGGACCCACCUGCACAUUCUUUUAUUUCCCACUCAUUCUCUCUCCUUACAUGUUGGUGAGUUUCCCUUCUUACCCUUCCUAACAUACGUAUGUAUGAUUGGGGGUCUCACAACACCCCUCGGUUCCAAAUUCACCUUGUCCUCAAGGUGGAAUGUGGGAAACUGUUGAUUCAUUUGAUAGACAGCUUCCCAUGUGGCUUCAGUUUCUGGUAAAUUCUUCCACUUGACUAGCCAUUCGUUAGCUCCCAAUUCUUUGUUCCAGCGAAUUCCCAAUACCUGUUCUGGCCAUAGUUGUAAUUCGAAAUCUGUUGUCAACAUAGGUUGCUGUUGCUGCACAACCUUCUGCUUACCUAACUUGAGCUUCAACUGUGAGAUGUGGAAUACAUCAUGAAUACUCGCCUCUGGUGGAAGUUUCAAUCUAUAGGCCACCUCUCCUAUCUCUUCAAUGAUUGUGUAAGGCCCGUAGAAUUUUGGAGCCAGCUUUUCACACCUUUUCCGAGCUAAGGAUCUCUGCCUAUAAGGUCUGAGCUUUAGGUAUACUUCAUCACCCACCUUGAACUUCAAUUCCCUUCUUUUGGUGUCUGCCCAUUUCUUCAUGCGGUUUUGGGCUAAGUGAAGGUUCUCCUUCAAGGCGUUCAAUGCCAGAUCUCUCUCCUUGAGCAUUAUUUCUACCUCAUCAUUCUGAGUUUUUCGGGUUCCGUAGGAUAGAAUCGGGGGUGGUUGCCUUCCAUAUACAAUCUUGAAAGGGUUGGAACGUAUGGAUGAAUGGAAAGUGGUGUUAUACCACAGUUCAGCCCAUGGAAUGAACUUAUGCCACCUUUGGGGUUGUUCAUUGCAAAAGCAUCUCAAGUAUGUCUCCAGACAUUGGUUUACCCUUUCCGUUUGUCCAUCUGUUUGUGGUGGAACGCCGUGCUUCUUUUCAGUUUAGUUCCCAUAGUUGUAAAUAACUCCUUCCAAAAAUGACUAAUGAAAACUUUAUCCCUGUCGGAUACUAUGGAUUUUGGAACCCCAUGCUUGCUGAUGAUCUUUUCAAUGAAUGUCGUCGCCACUUGUUUAGUUGUGAAAGGGUGCUUCAUAGUGAUGAAAUAAGCAUACUUGCUCAAUCUGUCUACCACCACCAUUAUCACAUUCAUUCCCCCUGCCUUCGGUAACCCUUCUAUGAAAUCCAUUGACCAUUCUUCUAGUAUGGCUUCCGGAGCAGGAAGUGGAUGUAAUACCCCUGCUGGUUUCGUGGCCUCAUAUUUGUUUCUUUGACAAAUCUCACACUGUUCCACAUAUUUCUUUAUAUCAGCCUUCAUUCCCUCCCAGUACAGCUCUCCGCUCAUCCUUUUAUAUGUCCUCAAGAAUCCUGAGUGUCCUCCUAAGAUGGAGUCAUGGAAUGUAUGCAGCAAUGUGGGAAUCACUGACGACUUCUUUGAUAAUACCACUCUCUUCUUGUAGAACAGUUUCCCAUUCUCCCAGCUAAAUUUGCUAAUUCCCUCUGGAUUCUGUUUCAAUUCUUUAAUGGUUUUCUGUAAUUCCUCAUCUUGGUUGACUUCCUUGUCUAUCACUUCCAUGUCUACAAUGCCAGUUGUCGUCAAGGAGUUUACUUCCAGCGGAUAUUCCAUCCUAGAAAGGGCAUCUGCUGCUUUGUUUUGUAAUCCAGGUUGGUAUAAUAUUUCAAAAUCGUAUCCCAGCAGUUUGGUCAGCCAUUUCUGAAAUUGGGGUUGUACUUCCCUCUGCUCAAGGAGAAAUUUCAAUGCCUUUUGAUCUGAGAUAAUUGUAAACUUCCUUCCUAAUAGAUAAUGACGCCAUUUCUGCACUGAUAAUACUACAGCCAUCAGUUCUCUUUCGUAAAUGGACUUGGCCUGAGCUCGUGUCGACAAUUUCUGGCUGAAGAAGGCUAUGGGGUGACCAUUCUGUGAAAGUACAGCUCCCAAUCCUGUCCCUGAAGCAUCUGUUUCGAUUAAAAAAGGUAGAUCCCAAUUCGGCAGUGCUAGCACCGGGAUAGUAGUCAUGGCCAUCUUUAAUUUUUCAAAGGCCUCGGUUGCUUGUUCAUCCCACGCAAAAGAAUUCUUUUGCAACAAUCUGGUCAAGGGGGCUGCAAUUUCUCCGUAUCCUUUCACAAACCUACGAUAAUAGCCCGAUAAUCCCAGAAAUCCUCUCAGACCCGUGACAUCUUUCGGCUGAGGCCAUUUCACCAUGUCUUUGAUCUUCUCCUCAUCAGCCUGUACUCCUUUACUCGAAAUUAUAUGCCCCAAAUAUUGGAUUUUGGAGUGAGCUAUGACACACUUCUUCUUAUUUGCAAAUAGAUGGUUAUCUCUCAACACUGCAAAUACCAUCCCUAGAUGUUUCUCAUGUUCUGCUAUAUCCUUGCUAUAUACAAGUAUAUCAUCGAAGAAUACCAAUACACACCUUCUUAAAAAGGUUUGAAUACCUGAUUCAUCAAGGACUGGAAGGUGGCUGGUGCGUUUGUAAGACCGAAGGGCAUUACCAGAAAUUCAUAGUGACCCUCAUGUGUUCUGAACGCGGUCUUCUCAACAUCUUCCUUCUGCAUCCUUAUUUGAUGGUAACCAGACUUCAGAUCUAGUUUUGAGAAAACCGUGGCUCCAUGUAAUUCAUCCAGCAGUUCUUCUAUCACUGGGAUAGGAAAUUUGUCUGAUAUGGUUACUUGGUUGAGUUUCCGGUAAUCUACACAAAAGCGCCACCCUCCAUCUUUCUUUUUGACCAAUAAAACAGGGCUGGAGUAAGGGCUAUGACUGGGACGUAUCACACCUGCUUGCAACAUUUCCACCACCAAUUUCUCAAUUUCCUCCUUCUGUACAUAACCAUAUUUAUAUGGUCUGACAUUGAUGGGCCUUUGGUUCGGUAAAACCAAUAUACGGUGAUCUAUUUCUCUCUUAGGAGGUAGUUUUUUUGGAUCCUCAAAGAUGUCUGCAUACUGUUGUAACAGAUUUUUAAUCAUUGGAGUCUCUUCCUCGUCCCCUUUCACUUCCUGCUCCGCUUCCACCUCCGUGUCUACUUCAUACUUUUGGAAUUCCAACAGAAAACCCUGAUCUUCAUUUUCCCACGUUUUCUCAAUGGUUUUCAGGGAACAUUCUGCUUGGAUGAGGGAUGGGUCUCCUUUCAAGAUAAUUUUCUGUUUGCCCAACCAGAAAGACAUUGUUAGAGAUGGCCAAUGUAUCUUCAUGGUGCCUGUUGUAUCCAGCCACUGCAUACCCAAUAUUACAUCCACAUUCCCAACUCAAUAGCAAAAAAAUCAGCCACCACCACCACCCCUUGUAGUUCCAAUUCCACUCUCUUGCAAACACCCUUGCCUGUACACUUGGUGCCAUCUCCAAUUGUAACUGCAAACGGGUUACCUUUUUCCAGAUAUAAGUUCUUUUCCUUUACUGUCCGGUUAUGUAUAAAAUUAUGGGUUGCUCCACUAUCAAUCAGUACUAUCACUCCUUUGCCCUUUAUAUUUCCCUUCAGCUUCAUCGUUCCCUUCGAUGCCAUCCCAUGGAUUGUCUUCAAUUCUAUUUCCUCCCCUUCAGCAAAAUCCAGAUGGUUUAAUUCCACUGUUUCCCCUGGUUCCUCUUCCAUCUUGCCUUCCUCUUCCUUGCUCUCCUCUUCAUUCAUGAUAAAUAACAUCAGCUCCCUUUUUUCCUUCACUCUACAUCUGUGCCCUGGUGUAUAUUUCUCAUUGCAUUUAAAACAUAGGCCCUUAUCCAAUCUGGACCUGAAUUCUGCGUCUGAAAGUCGUUUGAUAGGAGGUUCACUUUUUUGAUAACUACCCUUAAUAGGUAUAGUUACUUGUUUUAUGGGGAAAUCUGUCCUCCUCAUGUAGCCUUUGUCUGUUCCAUCUUGGAUUUUUCCUGCAUACUCUUCUUUUUUCUUUGGUUCCACUGUCCUGCCCUCGUCUUAGUCAAUUUCAUUGCUACAUUCCGAUCAUUGACUAGUUUAGCCUCCCUCAUACAAUCUUCCAAUGUUCGAGGGAAACGACUAACGACUUCUGCCUGAAGAUUGGGUUCCAGACCGGUCAGAAAAGCAUCUCGUAACACACUUUCCUCCAUGUGAGGGAGGGGAGCUGAAUAUGUGACAAAUUUCUUCACAUACUCACUGUAGGAUCCAUCUUGUUGAAUCCUAAUCAAGCGUGCCACUAGACUUGUUUGUCCCGAGUCCUUGAAGAAAUCAAACAUCCUCCCUUUCAAAUCUUCCCAUGACUCUACUUUCUUCCUAUUAUGCGUCCACCUGUACCAGUCCACUUCCUCUUGCCCAAAACUGACCACCGCCACUCUGAUCUUCUCGUUUUCUGGCAGGUUGUUCAUCUCAAAGAAAUGUUCUGCUCUAUAUACCCAGGAUUCUGGAUUUUCACCUAAGAACAUAGGCAUUUCUAACUUUGCGUACUUACUUCGAUCCACAUUGCUUCCAUUUACCUCAUUACAGACUUCCGAUUCUUCUACUUUUCCUUUCAACUUCAUGCUGGAUCCAUCAGAUGUUCCGGAUUCAUCUCUUUUCUUAUAGCUAUGAUUCUCUCUUAGUUCCUCUGUCAGUCUUUCCAUAGAUUUCUUCAUUUCCAGUAGCAUUUCUUUCAUGCUCAGCAGCUCCUUCUCGGUUCCUUCCAUUCGUUCCUCCAUUUGUCUUUGUGCCAUGCGACGCGUCACCACCCCCAGUUUUUUUUUUUUUUUUUUGUCGGGCUCUGAUACCAAAUGUUAGGAUUCUACACCCUUUUUAAUAAAAUACCCAACUAGGGCUAAACAGAGACAGAAUAUAUAGCCCAAAGUUACAGCUACAAUAAGGAAUGAAAACAAGAACAAUGAACAACAAGAACAAACCUGCACCCUUCACAAGAAGGAUACCCCUCUCCUAUCAGCUGCUGCUGCCUCCCUUUCCUCAAAGAUAACCAAAAAGAUACCUAUCCCUAUUUCUCAAUCAUUCUAUUUAUACUCACCCUCAAUUUCCUACCCAGUGGGACCCACCUGCACAUUCUUUUAUUUCCCACUCAUUCUCUCUCCUUACAUGUUGGUGAGUUUCCCUUCUUACCCUUCCUAACAUACGUAUGUAUGAUUGGGGGUCUCACAGAACUCUUGGAAUGUGAAUCUGCACUUUCCUGUAAUACUUUGAGUGUGAAUUAGUUCUCUGAGAACACCUGCAGAGGAUAAUCCAUGGCAAAACAGAAUAUCUAUAAAAAAAACCACUUGCAAGUAGAAGAAAAAGGAAGUACAUUUAUACCUUCCCUGUCAAAGUGAUAUCCCUAAUCAACGCAUAUGCAUUUCUUUCCAGGAAGUAACCAACAAUUUUACAAACCCAUGGGAGUUUAGGUUGUAAUAAGAAAAUAAUUGUGUCUAACAAUAGAGUUGCAGGUGUGUUAGAGUUCACAGGUGCAGCCAAAAGUUGAUUCCUCAAUUGGUUUCUAUCAAGAACAACAUCAAGUAAGAAUAAUUCAGAGGAAAAAUAAAGACAACUUAUCAUAUAUAUAAAUAAGAUUAAUCUGAAUUCGUUAGCUGAAGGUAAAAAAACCUUUAUGUCAGUUAUAUAUAUCUGAACAAAAUCUAAGAAAUAUAUCACUUUUCAACAAAAGAAAUAUAUCACUUUUCAACAAAAGAAAUAUAUCACUUUUCAACAAAAGAAAUAUAUCAUAUACAAUUAAAGGAUCACAGCAUAGAAAGCCAACAAAAUCAACAAUGAUAGAUCAAACAUCUGUUCUUCCAAUCAAAACGUUAAAAAGGAUAAGUUUUUAAUAAGGAAUGUUGAAAUGGAAAAAACUAAUUACCUAUUAUGGUGUACAGUCUGGAUGCAAGCAUAUGCAAAUUUCUUAACUCUCUAAUCCACUAAGCCUUGUUAAGUACAUAAUCCUUGCUAGCGAAAAUGCUCAACAUAUCCCCUAUAUAUGUAAGAGAGAGAAAGGUAAGAAAGUACUAACACUAAGAGAUAUGUGCUAUCAAUUAGAACACUUUAAGAUGAUAUUAUCAAUUAGAAAACCAAGCAUAAAGCAACAUAAGCGAAAAUAACAAACAAGGGCACCACAGUGGUUCAGAAACAAAUCAAUAUUUUCAUUUGUCACUUUUAUAAUAAUUUCCCAAGGGAAAAUCCUCAUAACAAUCCUCGUUUUCCCCCUACUAUGGAACGGGGAGGAUUCCUCCUCUUUUCAAAGCCCUUGCCAAACUCAAUGCUAAGUUUGACUGCUCCCUUCGGAGUGACAACAAGCCUUGUUUUCCCCCUAAUGUGGAUCGGGGAGGAUUCCUCCUCUUUUCAAAGCCCUCAUCAAACUCGAUGCUAAGUUUAGAACGCUAAGAGUAGGUGGUUUGGUUUUGGUUAGGCCAAAAGUAAAGUUUUAUGCUAAAAGCUCUGAUAGUUAGGGAACUCAACACAUUCUACCUGACCGAACCAAGUUGGCUCUUUGUUUUUUUAUGGGAUUUUUCUAAUGUAUAUUGCAUGUGUUGUUUGUUUUUUUUAUAGCUCUUGAUUGUUUAACCUUUUGACGUUUUGCAUUUGCAAGUCUCUCUUUUGUUUCUUUGGUAUGCAAUGUGGUAACAAGGUCUUGCUAGAACCGGUGGGCUAACCUUUCUAUGGUUCUAAACUUAGUUUCUAAGUUUGACUGCUCCCUUCGGAGUGACAACAAGCCUCGUUUUCCCCCUACUAUGGAACGGGGAGGAUUCCUCCUCUUUUCAAAGCCCUCGUCAAACUCAAUGCUAAGUUUGACUGCUCCCUUCGGAGUGACAACAAGCCUUGUUUUCCCCCUAAUGUGGAUCGGGGAGGAUUCCUCCUCUUUUCAAAGCCCUCAUCAAACUCGAUGCUAAGUUUAGAACGCUAAGAGUAGGUGGUUUGGUUUUGGUUAGGCCAAAAGUAAAGUUUUCUGCUAAAAGCUCUGGUAGUUAGGGAACUCAACACAUUCUACCUGACCGAAACAAGUUGGCUCUUUGUUUUUUUAUGGGAUUUUUCUAAUGUAUAUUGCAUGUGUUGCUUGUUUUUUUAUAGCUCUUGAUUGUCUAACCUUUUUACAUUUUGCAUUUGCAAGUCUCUCUUUUGUUUCUUUGGUAUGCAAUGUGGUAACAAGGUCUUGCUAGAACCGGUGGGCUAACCUUUCUAUGGUUCUAAACUUAGUUUCUAAGUUUGACUGCUCCCUUCGGAGUGACAACAAGCCUCGUUUUCCCCCUACUAUGGAACGGGGAGGAUUCCUCCUCUUUUCAAAGCCCUCGUCAAACUCAAUGCUAAGUUUGACUGCUCCCUUCGGAGUGACAACAAGCCUUGUUUUCCCCCUAAUGUGGAUCGGGGAGGAUUCCUCCUCUUUUCAAAGCCCUCAUCAAACUCGAUGCUAAGUUUAGAACGCUAAGAGUAGGUGGUUUGGUUUUGGUUAGGCCAAAAGUAAAGUUUUCUGCUAAAAGCUCUGAUAGUUAGGGAACUCAACACAUUCUACCUGACCGAAACAAGUUGGCUCUUUUUUUUUUUAUGGGAUUUUUCUAAUGUAUAUUGCAUGUGUUGUUUGUUUUUUUAUAGCUCUUGAUUGUCUAACCUUUUUACGUUUUGCAUUUGCAAGUCUCUCUUUUGUUUCUUUGGUAUGCAAUGUGGUAACAAGGUCUUGCUAGAACCGGUUGGCUAACCUUUCUAUGGUUCUAAACUUAGUUUCUAAGUUUGACUGCUCCCUUCGGAGUGACAACAAGCCUCGUUUUCCCCCUACUAUGGAACGGGGAGGAUUCCUCCUCUUUUCAAAGCCCUCGUCAAACUCAAUGCUAAGUUUGACUGCUCCCUUCGACGUGACAACAAGCCUUGUUUUCCCCCUAAUGUGGAUCGGGGAGGAUUCCUCCUCUUUUCAAAGCCCUCAUCAAACUCGAUGCUAUGUUUAGAACGCUAAGAGUAGGUAGUCGGUUUUGGUUAGGCCAAAAGUGAAGUUUUCCCCCAUUUUUUAUGGACUUUUUCUACUGUUGUUUGAUUUUUUUUAUAGCUCUUGAUUGUCUUACUGUUUUAUGUUUUGCAUUGUCAAGUCUCUCUUUUCUUUCUUUGGUAUGCAAUGUGGUAACUAGGCCUUGCUAGAACCGCUGGGCUAACCUUUCUAUGGUUCUACAUUUAGUUACUAAUUAAGUUAGAUUGCUCCCUUCGAAGUGACAAUAAGUUUUGUUAAUGUCGACCCUUUUUUAAAGGGAUUUAGUUCAUUGUGGCUAGACAAGAGGCUUCUAACUCAUGUUUGACAAGACAAAUUUGUUAAAACCAUCCCAGUUUCUAAAGAGUGCCUCCUAUCCUUUUUUACUCUAUCUAGGCUAGGUUUGGACUAAGUGCAUCAUAGGUAAGUCACGACAAAGCAACAAAGAAGACAAAGCUAGAAAAGUAUCCAUGCACUUAUUUAUUAUACAUGCAAUCAAGCAUUCACAACACACAUACCAUUUUCUCAAUCAUGCAUUCACAUCUCAAUAAGAAAUAGCUAAAAGGAGCUUAAAACAAAAAAGACAGCAGCUUAUGCUCAAAUUUCAGCACAUAUACUCAUCAAAAUUCAGAAUUUCACAUCAUAAACCCGAGCUCAGUGCUCAAGGGUUGCCAAUCAUGCUUUUUAUGCAAGAUCUAAUUAAGCUAUGCUCAUUAUUGUAUGGAAAGAAUUCUGAAAAAUUUUGAAAUUUGGGCAAAAUUUGAACCCCCAAGUUUACACUAUGCAAGCUAAGCAAGCUAUUAUCCACACCCACUCAAAAAAUUGCUUUUUCUGUCCUAAAAGCUUUUGAAAAUCAAAGUAAAUGGAGAAAAAUAAGGGGGGAACUUUGGACUCCUCUGGAAGGAUCGACAUCCUUGACUUUUGUUUGAAGCUUGCAUGGAUAAACCUUUUCAUUCCUUUUUCAUUGAUUAUUCAUCCUUGUUCCUGAAAAUCAAAGGAAAUUCUCUCAAUUUUAUAUAUUACUAAAAUUAGGAUACAUAUAAGUCUUAACUAGUCUAAUAGCACCCUCCAUUCAUCUUCCCCUACACUGGCUAUGGUAUCAAAAUUUUCAAUUAAGUAAUACGUCUACUAACGAACUUGAAAACAAAACACAUCACACUAAAAAACACAAACAUCACUUUAACCCAACAGAAGCAACUCUUUUUACCCUUGCACUCACUAUCACAUUACUAUCAUGUUUGUCAACUGUCAAACUAACUCUUUUAAGUUAUUUAGUGUGACUACAAAGUUAUGAACACCAUAAUCUUAAUUAAAACCUUUUAAUAAAUAAAUGCGAAGUUACUACUCAAGAAUGGCAAGGAAUUCAAAAAACAUGACAGCUAUCCUAAUUGGUUGAAAAUGAGAAAAAGAAAGUUAGCCAGACAACCUGUUUGGACUACAAAGCCAGCAGAUAUGAUUCCUCAAAUUUGACCAUUCACUCUCCAUACUCUACAAGUCUUCAAGCACAUGAUGCUGCCUACUUUCAGAUGAGCAACAUCAUUCCGAUCUUAACAGUCAGAAGAGCAAAUCAAAUCAAUCCUAGCAUAUUCACAAAUCACAACUAAAAAGUACAAACAUUACAAAAUAAAACAUGCAGCGAUAUCAACAAGCAUUCUGAUAAAUAAUUAGCCAAUUAAUUGACAUUACAAAAUAAAUAAAGAAAAACAAGCAUUCUGAUAUUUUUCUAUUUGUGCGGGCAGCCGAUGUUCACAAAACAGCGUUUCGAACCCACGAGGGGCCCUAUGAAUUCCUUGUGAUGCUGUUUGGGUUGAAACGCUCCGGCAACAUUCCAAUCAAUCAUGAGUGAUGUUCUUCGCCCAUAUUUACGCAAGUUUGUUUUGGUUUUCUUUGAUGACAUCUUAAUUUACAGCAAGUCCUUGGACGAGCAUUUGCACCAAUUGGCAAUGGUUUUGGAAACUCUAGUAGCUCAUCAACUGGUAGCCAACUUUAAAAAAUGCCAAUUUGCGGUUGACAAAAUUGAAUACUUGGGCCAUGUUAUUUCUUCAGAGGGGGUGGCAGCGGAUCCAACAAAAAUAGAAGCGAUGGUUAAAUGGCCAGCACCCAAGAACGUGAAGGAGCUAGGUGGGUUUUUUGGGGCUAACGGGGUAUUAUCGGAAAUUCGUUGCAAACUACGGUUCUAUUGUGCUGCCCCCCUUGACACAACUGUUAAAAAAGGUAACUUUAAGUGGAAUGAGACGACCGAGAACGCAUUUCAGCAGUUAAAAGUCAGCAAUGAUGUCUGUCCCGAUGCUAGGUAUUCCUGAUUUUUCACAAAGUUUUGUGCUGGAAACUGAUGCUUCGGGUGUGGGUAUUGGGGCUGUCCUAAUGCAAAAUCAACGACCAGUGGCCUUUUUCAGUCAAGCUUUACCUAUUACCCAUAGGUUUAAGGCUGUUUAUGAACGGGAGCUUAUGGCAAUAGUGCUGGCUGUUCAAAAAUGGCGACCAUAUCUAUUGGGUAAGCCUUUUGUGGUGCGUACAGAUCAGAAAAGUUUGAAGUUUCUUCUUGAACAACGGGCUAUCGGGGGAGAAUAUCAGAGAUGGAUCGCUAAACUAUUGGGGUAUGAUUUUGUGAUUGAGUACAAGAAAGGAUUGGAAAACAAAGCGGCCGAUGCCUUAUAGAGAUUACCACCGGUAUUUGAAUUGGGCCUCGUAAGUAUUGUGGGGGGCUAAACCCUUCAGUUUUCAUCGAUCAAGUGGCUGGAAAUGAAUCUCUUAACAAUAUUCGACUAUCCUUGAUAAAUGGACAACAAGCUCCAGAGGGAUAUUCGCUACAAGGAGGAGGAUUCACCUGAUAUUACUUUAUUAUUAGCUGAAUUCCAUAACAGCCAGAUAGGGGGACAUCAUGGUGCAUUGAAAACAUAUCAAAGGCUAGCAAGGGAGGUAUAUUGGCGAGGUAUGACAGCCCAUAUCCGCACCUAUGUUGCUGAAUGUUCCGUGUGUCAACAAGCCAAAUACUUGUCUUUAACUCCGGCUGGUUUUCUUCAAGCAUUACCCAUUCCGGACCGUGUGUGGGAAGAUAUUAGUAUGGAUUUUAUUGAGGGCCUCCCCAAAUCCGAGGGUUAUGAUGUUAUAUUGGUAGUUGCGGAUCUUCUUUCCAAGUAUGCACAUUUCAUCCCCUUGAAACAUCCAUUUGGUGCAAAAGUGGUUGCUGCUGUUUUUAUGCGAGAGAUUAUUCGUUUGCAUGGAUGCCCCUGAAGUAUAGUGUCGGAUCGUGAUCGUAUUUUCACAAGUCUAUUAUGGGAAGAGUUGUGGAGGUUGUUGGAAACUCAGUUGAGACGAAGCACCACUUACCACCCCCAAACAGAUGGUCAAACGGAAGUUGUCAAUCGAGGGGUGGAGACGUAUCUAGGGUAUUUUUCUAUGAACACACCUAAACAAUGGGUUAAAUGGCUAGCUUGGGCUGAAUUGAGCUAUAAUACAACAGUCCGUACAGCCACAUUGAUGACCCCCUUCGAGGCCCUCUAUGGGCGACCACCCCCUCUAUAUUACCAUAUGUGAAGGGCUCGAGCCGGGUGAAUGAUGAAGUAGACCAUUUGAUGAAAGAAAGAGAUGAAAUUUUGGGCGUUUUGAAGGCCAAUUUACUGAAAUCACAGCAGCAAAUGGUCAAAUAUGCUAAUGCUAAAAGACGGGAGGUGCAGUUUGAGGUUCAUGAUUGGGUUUAUGUGAAGUUACGCCCUUACCGACAGUCCUCUCUCAGCCGUUUUAAGCACUCCAAAUUGGCCCCAAGAUUCAUUGGUUCAUUUAUGAUCGUGGCACGAAUUCGUUUCGUUGCAUACCGUUUGGCCCUUCCCAAGGAAUCGCUUAUACACCCGGUCUUUCAUGUUUCUGUUCUUCGCAAGGUCGUGGGUUCAAACAGGCCAUUAUUCCCAAUUUCAAAAGAUUUGGCUGCUGAUUUGUCUAUGCAAGUGUCUCCGGUAGAAGUAUUGGGAGUUCGCAAAACAAUAGAAAAGGAGGACAACUUAGAAGUUUUGAUCCGUUGGAGUGAGGGGACACUUGAAAGUGCAACGUGGGAACAAGCUGCUCUUAUUCAAGAAACAGUUUCCUGAAUUCCACCUUGAGGACAAGGUGGCUAUUUGGGGGCUAGUAAUGAUAGACCUCCCAUAGUAAAGGUGUAUUCCCGUAGAGACAAGAAUAGGAAGAAGAAAGAAUGAUUGAGAGUUAGUUGAUAUUUUUCUAUUUGUGUGGGCCCUUAGGAAUGUGUUUGUUAGAGUGGGGCCAAGUAUUUUGUUAUUUCUCUAAGCAAUUACUUAAGUUUCUUGAGUGGGAGGGUAAUGGGUAUCUUGAUUUUGGUAUAGACUCUCAUUAGAGAAGUGUGUAGAGAUUGGGGAGCUCUCAAAUCCUCCCCCACAGUUGAUAAAUAAAAUUUUGGCUAAAGCCUUGACAAAAGCUAAUGUAGAACACCCCCCUUCUUUAUGUUUCUUGAGUUUUAUCCUAGAGGAGGUGUUUGAAUUACCAUUUUUAUAGUUUAGGAUUAGUUAUUUGAGUUAACAAUUUUGUAUCUUGAGUUAGUUAUAAGUAAACUAACUCAACCCCAAGUUAGUUUAACAACUCUUGUAAUCUCCAGCCUAUAAAAAGGCUUCUCAUUUUCAUUAAUAAAUGAUAAAAAAAAAGGCAUUAUACAUAAAGAUUUCCUAGCUUUGCAAUUACAGCAUCAAAAGCAAUGUACAGUUCAGAUGAGACUUUAUUCCAGUAUAGAGUAGCUCUGUAAUUGCAGAUCAAGAAAGUGAAUGUAGCAUGGAAAUCCCAAAUUCAACAUUUGGAAGUUAGCAAUUGACAAUCUCAUUAGUAGGCAGUGCACCCAUAAUAAAAUGUAAGAUUUUUAGAACCCUAAAAAUUCAAGUAACUUGCAACUAGUCAUUGUCAUGACCAUCAAUACUACGAUUAGUGGAUCAGCACAAAAUACAAAACAGUAAGACAGUAAAUCUUUAAAAACCUUACUUCUGUUUUAACUUGCUCAAGAAGAAUGUUGCAAAAAGUAUAUCAACAAGAAUUCCUUCAAACAUGACCUACAGGAAGAAGGGUAAAACAACAACAACAUCCUGUCAAAAAUCAUUUAAUGUGAUUGAGAUCUUUUAGCAUGACUGCUUGAGAACUUUUAGCACAACCAAGCAGCAACUUCAAUAACAGAAAAACAUGCAUAAUGUAGGAAGACAACAAAUUUCAAAUUAUGACAUUGUAUUUAUGAAUGUCAGGCGAUUCAUUGAUGUUCCAAAAUUCAACCAAAGUAUGGGGUGAAAGAUAUAUAAGAAUCUUCCAUGAUAAGGCCAAGACCAGGAUAUCCUUAUCCAAAAAAAGAAAAAACUAAUCAACCAAAGUAAAUUCCAUGUAUGAUUGGGAAUUAUGGCCAUACCUUUGCCAAAAGAACUUCGAGGAAAUGGAAAAACUGGAGAUGUUGCUCAUGUAUCAUUCCCGAACCAGGAUUGGGGUAGAGCAAAUGGUCAGCAAUUUGCUGGAUUACCAAGCAGAAAAUAACUUAUAUUAGAAAAAAUGAACAAUACAUACCCACAUAUUACUGAAAUUUUAUGAAAUAGAUUUCAAGCAACCAAUUUUUAUAUUGAAAUGUGAUCUCACAACUAUUUUUAUUUUGAAAAGCGAUUUCAAACAACUAUGGCUGUCUCAUCACGCUUCAUGUUAUCCAAUAAUACUACAGGAUUAACAAAGCCAUGCCAUGCUAAUAAUAAGGAAUGUCGUGAUAACCUUAAAUAAACCAUACUGCACGUCAAAGGCUGCCCGUGUAAUGUUCUCCAUGACAUCUUUAAAAAUACCACCACCAUCAAUUCCUGCCUCCUCAACUCCAAAUUCAUUAACAAAAGACACACGUAUCUGCAUGCAGAAAAGUGAAGCAAUUGACCCAACACAAACAAGAAAAAACUAAUAAACAAUUACAAGUAACUCUGCAACUAUAGGAUGCAGAAGAGGGAAGGGGUCGUUUUCACGAGGGCAAAGAAAAAGAUAGAAAAAAGUAAGAUAACAAUUUCAUUUUUCAUAAAUCUGAAAUUACCGAUCCUCGAAGAUCAACUUCAGACAAUGCACUCAUCUGACUGAAAGCAUCUUCCAAUAUAUGAUUUCGUCGAAUUCUAAACCGGUUUCUGGCAAAAACAGCAAGAGAUCCAUUCCUUUGCCUAGCUGCUGCUAGUUGUGUCUGUGAAAUGAGUUAUAGAGAAAGUAACCAUAAAUAAAAAAUAUCUUACAUAUUUCUAUAACUAACAGUCAUCAAGAAAUUCAAUAUUGUGGAUAAGGAAACCAAAAAAAUAACUUGCUUACAGUGAAAAUCUUAACCCUGCUAAUAAACGGUACUAAAAAGGGAACUCGCUUGUGUAUAUCAUUUGCUCUGGUAUUUUCUAUCACUGCCUACAAAGAAACAAGGCCAAGUAAAUAAUUAGAAUUACGAUCAGAUAGUGGUUUCUCUCAUGGAAAUUCCAUUGCAAAAUGGAAGGUUCACUUGGUCUAGAGACGGUAAUUCUCCUUGAAGAUCAUUAUUAGACUGAUUCUUCAUAAAUCAGAUGUGGGAUAUUUGUUUUGAAAAUUCUCGGGUUUCUCGAAAAGCACGCAUCUUCUCGGAUCACUUUCCUUUAUUCUUGGAGGCUGGUUCUUUUCUUUGGGGUCCCUCUCCUUUUCGGUUUUGUAACAGCUGGUUGGUGUCCAGUGAUUCUAAUCAGAUUAUUGUUGAAACAGUGAGCAACUCUAACUUCCAGGGAUGGGCUGGUUUCAUUCUUCAUGAGCAGUUGAGAUCAGUUAAAUUGUUAGUUGAUUAUGUUCAAAGCAAAUUUCUGGUAAAAUGGCCUUUACUGCAUUUAACCAAAUCAAUCUUGGUUUCUUCUUGAGAAUGGGACAUGAAAUAAGCUGGACCGCGUUCUCCUAAAUCUAUAGUCGAAAACCCAAUUCAAAUGAAGAUAGCCAAGUAAGCCAAAACCAACACUUCUUUGCAUGUAGGCAGGAGAAGAAAAUAUGAUGUAAAUCUUCUAAAGCAUGCAAACACAAGGGAGAAACAUGAGAAGAUAAACUGAGAAAGGGAGGUUUCAUUUGCAAAACUUCUGCACAGUUCAUAGUCCAUUUCGCAUUCUCCAAAGCGUGAUAUUCACUCUUCUAGGGCUUUCUGUCUUCCAAAUUGUCGAGUACUUUGUUUUCAAGACUGUGUUAGAACAUGUUUGGCUGAUUAAUAAAUUAGUAGAACACACUAUUUGGUGUUCUAUCAUUUUGGUAUCGGAGAAAUCGAAUCUGUGAAGUUCUAUAUCAUGGCUCAAAAGCGAAUUGAGGAAAAGUUGGAAAUGGUAGAUCAAGAAAUAUCCGGCAUUCGAGCAGAAUUACAUGAUCUGCCAACAAUCAAGGAAAACGUGUCAUCUUUGGCAAAGAGUAUUGAGAGGUUAGGAGUACAGGCUGAGAAGCAACAACAGCAACCAGAAACACUGUUGAAAUAUAUUGAAGGAAUGAUCAAAGGGAAGACAACGAUGGAAGAAGUACUAGAAGGAUCAUCAAGUGAGUUGACAGCAUGGUUGAUGUCAGUGAUUGGACGAUGAUGGGAGGAAAAUAUGAGGAAAAACAUACCAAGUUGGAGGGUGAAGAUUCUGCGGGCGACCGAAGCAAAUUUAAAAAAAUUGAAAUGUCAGUUUUUGUGGGAAAUGAUCCUGAUUCUUGGUUGUUUAGGGCUGAGAGAUACUUUCAGAUACACAAACUGAGUGAGUCAGAGAAAAUGACUGUGUCCAUUAUUAGUUUUGAUGGAGCAUCUUUGAAUUGGUAUAGAUCCCAUUAUUAGUUUUGAUGAAGCGAGAUAUAUCCUAUUAAAGUUGUCGUGUUACUUAAUCGCAUUAUAACGCAAAGACAUUCCUUUGCUCUUUCUUGCAUACAAGUUAGUUCCCAUUUCCAUUUUUUCAUCCAUAUUCCCUCUUAUAGAAUCUCUAAGCGUAGAUAUCUAGUGGUAGUUUGUUCUUGUAUUUCUUUUAUACCAUUCGUUAUUCUUUAAUUCUUUUAUACUGCCUAGAUAAUAAGUAAUACCUAAAAUUAAUAUCUUGAAUCAAUUCCUUAUGUUCGACUCGGAUCACCCAAGUAAACCUACCAUUUCACUUGCACUUGGACAAGUAGUAAGAAAACUUGUACUCAAGAGGACUUAGUUGCCACACGAUAUGAAGGUCUAGUGAGCAAUUCACAUGCAGUUAACAUGCUUAGUGAUAUAUCGCCUAGAUUGAGUAUAAUUUUCAUUCACCAUUUACUAACACUAAGUCCUGAUUGUUGAAGAGAAACAACACCUCAAUAACCGGAGCGAUCGACUUCUAUCUUUAGUUAUUCGAUCUUGAACCUUAAUUGCACCGAGAGAUGGCCUGGGAUGAAACAAAUUUACAUUUAUUUUAUUCAGUCUCGAGCAUACAUUGUCCUAAGAUGCUACAUUAUGAAAGACUUCUGCCUUUAGUUAUUCGAUCUUAGGCCUUAAUUGCACUGAAAUGGCUCGGGAUGAAAGAAUUCUGUCUUUAUUCUAUUUAAUCUUGGGCAUACAUUACAUUGAGAUGCUCCGAAAUGAAAUUUUUUUGCCUUUAGUUAUUCGAUCUCGACCUUAAUUGCAUCGAGAUGACCCGUUAUUAAUAAAUCACAAAGAAGAUAUAAAUCGCAAGGACGUCUAUGGAAUUUGUGAAAAAAUAAUCUCGCAUCAUGGACUUUUCUUAUUUUGUUAUACGAACCAUAAAUAUUUUGGAUUUUUCUACAUUUAUGUAAAUACUCUUAAAUUAAUCUAAUUAAUAUUUAAUUGGAAAUCACUGCCACUUGGAUAUAGGAAUACGGGAGCAUCCCACAUUCUCUAAAUAACACCCACAUAUGGAAGUUAUUAUCUUAAUUUAAAUAAUGAUCACAAAUAGCAAAAAAGUUAAAACUAUUUACAAAAUAUAGCAAAAAAUUGAAACUAUUUACAAAAAGACUCAAAUGUGCUAUAGAGAAUUUAAUUAUUAUGCUAAUUAGUUUCAAUUUAAUUAUAUAUUUGAAAAUUCCACUUAAAUUUGAUUAACACUAAAAUAAUUAGUUAAUAUAUAAUAAUUAUUUAAAUCACAUUUAAUUAAUAUUUCAUUUAAAUCACAUUUAAAUGAAUAUCUCUCACAUAACCAAUAGUUUGAUUUUAAUUAAUAGAAUUAAACUAAAUUAUUAAUUAAUUCUUCAAUUAUUUAAUUUCUAAAUUAAAUAUUUUAUAUUUGAUUUAAUAUAGAUUUGAAUCAUACUCAUAUAUGAAUUUCUCUCAUAACCUAUUGUUUGAAUUUGUAUCAUAUACGUAUUAAAUUUUAAUCUAUAGUUUUAUUACAAAUUUAAUUCAUAUUAAAUUAAUAUUUGAACUCAUUCAAAUAUUUAUUAUUUCAUAAUUAAUUUUAAAUCAUAUACAAAAUUAAAUUUAUAUAAUAAAGUUCAAUUAAAAGAUAAAUUUUAUAUUAUAAUAUAUCACCAUACAUUAUACUAAUUUUCAAAGUAAAUAUGAACAUUUCAAAUUACAGUCAAUAUGUAAUAACCUUAAUACCCUUUACAUACUAGGAAGGGACCUAAUAAAUUUACAUUUCAAAGUGAAAUCAAUUUAUUUACUUUAGUUGUCGUAUUAUCCUUAAGAGCACCUCAUGCCUCCACAUCAAUAAUCAUUUUAUCUCAUUGCAACAAUCACCCAUAUAAAUAUUGAAUCAACAUAUGGUUCUGUACCUAAUGAUGAAAAACUUGGCACUGAGCCAAGUAUCUCCCCCAAUAAUCGUAAAGUGAUUCAUCCUUUCCUUGUGUGAUGCCAUAGAUUUUCUUCCUCACACUAGUAGCAUAAAAGGUUGAAAAGAACUUUUCCAAAUAUUGUCUCUACAUCUACUCCCAUGAAAUAAUGCUCCCUGGUGACAAGUAAUAGAGCUAAUCUUUCACUUCUUCGUGUUACGAGAAGGGAAAAGCUCUCAUGUUCGUCUGCUCAAGGGUUAUAAUGUGAGGACUCAUUCCAUUGCAAACAAUAUGGGGCUCGGCUAUCGAGAAUAAUAUGGGGCUCGACUAUCGAGAAUUAUAACGACUGAACCCUAAGUGGAAGUCCAUAAGUUCACUUUAGCAGUUAGCUAAAUGAAAAUCUACUUAUAAUAUGGAGCAAGCACUAGAAGAAAUUUGCUCUUUAUUGUCAGUUUAGAACCGACAUUAAUGGCCUUCGGUGUUAGUUCGGAAUUGACAUCUAUGCUAGCGUUAUUAAAGGCCUUUAAUGUCAUUUUUGCUUUGAUGUCAGUUUAAAAAUGACAUCAAAUGCAUCAUUGAUGGCCACUGAUGUCGGUUUUAAAUCAACAUUUUUUAUGGCGUAAUUGUUGACCUUUACUGUUGGUUUUCCUUUAAUGUCGUUUUUAAACCGACAUCAAAGCCUUGUUUGUUUUUUAAUUUAUUUAUUUUAAUUAUUUUCAUGGUGUCGAAAUCGACAUUAUUUGUUACGAAUUACGACAUGAAAUGUUCGUCAUCGAAUAUUAAAAAAGUAUAAAAAAUAAUUGUUGCAUGAUUGCUAGCUGUCUACCACUCCAUGGCCAACCUUAUAUAUUACUUCCAUAUUUCACCUGCAAGGCAGAAGAUCAACACCUACAAAACAAGCAUACACUUCCACACAUCCAAUGGCAAACUAAUACUAUUUCUAGCUAUAUAGAAUUCAAACCUACAAAACCAGCACAUAGACUUCCACACUUCGAUGCAAACUAAUAAUAUUUCUAGCUACAGAAUUCAACACCUAAAAACCCAACAUAUAUACAUUUUUCCACACUUCCAUAGCAAACCAAUAUUUCCAUUUCACCUACAAGGAAGAAGAUCAACACCUACAAAACCAGCAUACACUUCCACACAUCCAAUGACAAACUAAUAUAUUUCUAGCUAUAGAAUUCAACAUGUAAGAAACCUACAAAAACCAGCACAUACAUUUCCACACUUCCAUGGCAAACCAAUAUUUCCAUUUCACCUACAAGGAAGAUCAACCCCUACAAAACCAGCAUACACUUCCACACAUCCAAUGGCAAACUAAUACUAUUUCUAGCUAUAGAAUUCAACAUAUAAAAGACUAAGUUUAGAUAAUUUAUGUAAUUUGUAACAUAUAAAAAGUGAAAGUAGAAACUUACAAGGCUAGUGAUGGGAGUACUAGAAUUAUGCACGAUUUCAUGUAUAUACUUUUGGACAUAAUACCCACACCCAACCGAAUCCAAUUGACGAGGACACUGCAUGCAUAUAAAUUACAUACAAAUUAUUCUUAUGUUUCAUUGAAAAUAAUUAUGUGUCAAUGCAAAUUACCUUUAUAGGUUUCCAUUUCGGAUUUGACCGAUAAUGUUGUAAAUCAUGCUUAGCUUGCCAUGUUUUUAAUCCUCUAUACAUUUGGAAACAUUAGAAUUAAAAGACAAUGAAGUCAAAUAAGAAGUAAAUCAUAAGUCACAUUUAUGACUCCAUGGAUGUCUUCGUUAACUUUACUUUGAAGAGAGUCCAAAACAUAAACACAGUUCUCUCGAAGAUCGAUGACAUGCAACAUCCAAUGAAAACUACAAUAAACAUCUUCAAUGUGAGUAUACAUUUAACCUCAAUGAAAAACAUAAUAAUGUGUUAAUCUUAUUUAUUUACCCAGUAUUAUACGGAAUUAGAACUAUUUGUUCCAAGGUAGCCGCUUCUAACUGGUUGGGCAAAAUUUCUGGAUCGGAGAUCACGAUCCUUGAUAUGUGAUGUUAUUUUUGCUUGGUCAUAACAAAAAACUUGCUUCCACAAUCACAUUCAUCCAAAGAUAUCUAAGUAAAAGCAACCUUAGUUAAAAAGGAACAAAAUAACUAUAGCUAUAGUAUUGGACAUAAAGAUGAGUAAAAGAUGUUUACUUACGUAAUGUAUGCUAGGAUGCACAUAUAGCCUAUUUCUAUCAUGCUGCAAUAAUGGAGCAAGUCCUAACGAGCUAAAUAAAUGAAUUUGUUUUUACCGAAUAUUAGCUCGUUCAUUAGGAUGCGAACCAUAUCUACAUCCUUCAUAUUGUUCACGACAUGUCCAUAUAAGAGCUUAAUGGUUCCAUUAACAUUUAUGUAAUUUGAAGAAUACAGAACAUCCUUUGGGUUGAAUGCUCCAAGCACAAACAAAAUAAUAUCAAAACCUAAAAUACAAUCACAAAUAAAUAUCAAAGCUUCAAUAGCACAUAAACAAGUCAACGAGGUCAUUCAACAAUAUUAUGAACGCACACACACGAACACACGCAUGAACGCACACACACAUUCACACAUGCACAUGUUGGAAUUUUUUGUCCUAAAACUCGUAGUUUGUAAAUCAUAUUCUAUUCAAUAAAGUUGUUAUUGAGAAAUUAAAUAUUAUAAUCUUAAAUCCAAUAAAUCAAAGUUCCAAGGCUAUUUUUUGAAUAAACUUGAACUUUAUGUGUAAACAUAAACGUGGAUCAAGUUCGAGUAUAUAGCCUAAAUAGUCUAUAGUAUAUGAAAUAAAGGUUGGGCGCCUUAUUUUGAGAGACUAUGGAUGCGGCCCACUUUGUAGUACAAACGAUGUGAUCCUAAUCGUUCAUGUAGAGACAUGAAAGUGGGGGCAUCCUAUGUAAAAUGUUUACAUAAGACUGAACCAUGAAUUAGUCAUUUUUACGUUAUAACACCGUUUACUGUUUAAAACUGACUAUCUCAAUUAUUGAUGACCUAGGUAACUUAGUCUUAAUCCUGAGUUAACUAUGAACUCCUGUUCAUACGAGAUUAUCCUUAGAUCUGCAUAGGUGAGGGCAGCUCAUCAGCGUUGGCCCAAUAAGCCUCCCAUUUCAGGGGUAAGAUCGGGUGGAUAGCUGGGAACAUAGGGUACAAGAUGGAAUUCACUCCUACCCGCUUUAGGGUUAGUAGAUAGGUUGCUCUCUUAAGCACUAAAUCCAAGUCUUGAACAAGGGGCCCCACCCUCUCAUUGGCCCGAGAGGGAUUAAGUUUAUAGGUUGAACCUUAAACCAAUUGUUCAAUAGUGGAUUAGUGGGACUUAAGGAGCAAGAUGUAAUCUUGGGGGUAAAACGGUAUUUUGACCCAGCCAAGGUUACGAGCAACCUAUGAAGGAUUAACUUACUGAUUAUGGUUUUAUCAAAUGGACACAAAUAUAUCUAUAGUGAGGGGAGUGCAACUACGGGACUUUAGUGGAAUGACCCGUUAGUUAACGAAUGUUGAUUAACUCGGUUUAAAAGAGUUUAGCUAGUUAAUCUUGAAUCGUUGGAGCCCAUGAUCUAUAGGUCCAUUAGGUUCCUCUGCUAGCUCAUAUGGAUUAAACUUAGAACAGUGUGAUGAAAUAAGUCGAAUUGUUCGAAUUGGGAGAAGAAAGGAAAACCGACAUAUACAGUGAUAUAAUCGUCGAUCUUCUAAUUAGAAAUAGAGCUUUAUGUUUUACAUACUAUAAGUAUGAAUGCGGAUUCAUACUAAGAAGCUCGGAAUUGGUCAAAAAUAGUAAAAAGUCAAAAUGUUGACUUUUGACUUUGAAAAGUCAAACUUUGACCGGCCUUAUAUUCAAAUGUGAUUUGAAUUUUGGAAAAAUGAAUGCGGAUUCAUGCUCGGGAGGUUGGAAUUAGUCAAGACGGACAAAAUGGUAAAAAGUCAAAAUAUUGACUUUUGACUUAGAAAAGUCAAAGUUUGACUUUUGACUAGAAAAAUCUAAUGACCAUUUUACCCUUGGACUAAGUUAGUGGGAAAAUCCAACAUUUUGUUGGAUAAUCCCACUAACUCUUAGUGGGAUAUGUGGCUAUAUGAGAUAUAGACACCUAGCCCACUAAGUUCCACUAAUUGUUAGUGGAAUAUUAGGUGUUGAGAUUUGGCAAUUGAAUUGCAUGCAUUUUUGCAUGUAAUUAGGCUAUAAAUAGAGAUGUUUUCAAAUGUUGAAGGACUUUUGCCUCUUUUAUCAUUUUCAUAAUCUCAACAAAAGAAAAAAGAAAGCUUCCAAUCUCAUUUUAUCUCCAUUACUUUCUACACCAAAAUUGGGUCCCACAACCCGGUUCUUUGUCUAGAGGAUAGCAGUUGAGUACUAGUGGUGGUCUCGGGUAGAAUUGGUAAGAAGACAUCAAACCUUUUGAAAGCUUCAAAGGUAAUACUUCUUAAAACCCUAAUUUGAUUAGUUUAUGGUUACAUGUUAAUUGUGGCAAUUAGGGUAGAAAUUCGAUUCUUUUUCCGCUGUGCAUGACUUAGUUCUAUCAUGUGGUAUCAGAGCAUGCUUCAUUUUUACCCAAUUGCAUGUGGUGGGUUCAUAUUUAUUAGAUAAAUUUUGGUUUGAACUAAAAUGGAUAUAUUAUGAUUUUGGCUCUAGAUUAAGUGUUUUUGUUCUAAUUAUUGUAAUUAGCCUUGUUAAUGGCUUAUUUUUAUUGUUGCAAAGUGUUUGUAAUUUUUUUAAAAAAUAAAAAAAAGUCAUUAGAGUUGAAGCUAGGCUGUAAUUGGUUCAACCGGGUGAGAGAAUUGAAAAAAAUGAAGAAAAGAAGGUCACAGACCCGAAAACCCGGUUUUGACCCGCUUCGCGACCCGCACGCGCCCGCAUGCCCGCGCGCCCUUUGCGCCGCGCGCCCUCCUGCGUCCGCACGCGCCGCGCGCCCGCGCGCCCUCCUGCGCCGCGCGCCCUCCUGCGCCGCGCGCCCUCCUGCGCCGCGCGCCCGCAUGUGUCCGCGCGCCCGCAUGCGCCCGCACGCCCGCCUUCGCCCGCGCGCCUGCCUUCGCACGACCCGUGUGCGCCUGGGCCGGUUCAAGCCAAUAAAUUUGGUUUUUGGGCCGGUUCAAGCGGUUCGGUUGGUUUUUUAGUCGGUUCGAAAUUUUUGGGAGUGGUUCUGUACUACACCAAAUUAAUUAUGUAAUAAUUUAGCACUUAGCUUAAUUUAGGAGCCAAAAAUCAGUCCAUUUUAGGGUGUUUUUUUUAUUUAUGCAUGUGAUGUAUGAUUAAAUUACUUUAAAUUUGUAUGUGCAUUUUGAAUGUCAUAUAGAUUUAAAAUCCCACCAUAGGUUAACAUGUUCAUGCAUUAAAAUGUAUGAUAUAAAGGUUAUAUUGUAUUGUAUGCAUGUUAAUUGAUUAAUAUGGAAAUUAAUUAAUAUGAUUAAUUAAUUAUUUAAUUAAUUAAGUUAUUCUUGAUUAAAUAUGAUUUAAUCAAAUUAAUUAAUUAUUGUUUGAUUUAAUUUAAUUAAAUAUGAUUUAAUUAAAGUUAAAUAAAUUAAAAUCCAUAUUAAUUGAUUGUUUUUAUUAUAUAUUGAUAAAAUGAUUGAUUAAGUUUAAAAGUUUUUAUAAGUGUUAUAAAAUAAAUUAGACUUUUAAAAUCAAUAACAAAGAUUAAAUGCAUGCUCACUUAGGUUAAACAUAUCUUCCAUUUUUCAUAGAAAUAGGUCGAUAUCUUGUAAAACUGGUUACAAAAGGCUCACCUGGUUCAAUCUUGUCAACAAGUCAGAUAAGAUGACUAAGGUUGGAGGUUCUUAAGUUGACGGUUUACGGAACACCUCCUACCUGGAGAUCGUAAUCAGUUCUUGAGCCUAGUUAACCUAGUUUUAUGAGCAUUCGUGAGAGGUGUGAGGUAAUAAAAAUGGUUUUUCACCUAGACAUCAUAGGUUAAAAUCCUGUAUAAUGGUUAUACUUGGAUGUUUUAUCUAGACUUAAGAUUUGUUUAAGUUAGCCUAAAUAUAAAUCUUGAAGUUUGGAUUACCCUAUUUUUUUCUUUUAGAACACUUCAACUAGAGAAAAAUAAUGUAUUUUAGCUCUAGUGUCCCUAAGAGUUCACACCGUGAGGUCCAUGCAGGGCUUUGUGCCGUGCAUAGGAGCGGCCUCCCUUCGGAGAGUGUUUGCAUGGAUCAAAAUCAAGGUGAAUAGGGGAAGUAGUUCAUAGUAAGUGGGUGAGGGAUUUGUGGCAGCACAUCCCACGGUCUCUUCCAUUAGGUCGCACCGUGAGAUUUCUAUAAUAUGCCUGCUUGUCUGCCCUGGAGCGACGUUCCCUUCGGAGGGUUGUAUUAUAGGAUUCGGAACACCGCGAACUCCAAAACUGGAUAGGAUUUCUUAGAUUAGUUUUCAUAAAUGAUUCUAAUCUAUAAAAUCUGAAAAUGGUGGGUAACACUUACAAGAAUUACUAAGUUGUUAGUAUAUUCUUGACUAAAGUAGCGAUAACUAAGUGCUAUAAAGAAUAAAGAGUUAUUCUUGAGAUAGCAUCUAGUCAAGAUUGUCUUGGUUCAAAGGAGGAAUAAUCAACUACCCUUCGGAGAAGGUUGUUCUAAACCUUUGAAAUAUUGUUGCAAAAUACAAAUAAUGAAAGGGUACAUUAUUAGUAAUUGCUAAAUUAGAUUGGAUAUUUUUUAUGAUUAUAGUUUUUUCUUAAAAAGAAUAUGUUUGUUUUUCAGCAUGAAUAGCUCAAUAGUUCAACUUUUAGCUUCCGAAAAACUUAAUGGCGAUAAUUAUGCGGCUUGGAAAUCAAAUCUUAACACAAUACUAGUGGUUGACGAUUUAAGAUUUGUCUUAACUGAGGAAUGUCCUCAAAACCCUGCCUCUAAUGCUAACCGAACUAGUCGGGAUGCAUAUGAUCGAUGGAUAAAAGCUAAUGAAAAAGCCCGUGUUUACAUUCUUGCCAGCAUGUCUGAUGUAUUGGCAAAGAAACAUGAAUCCUUAGCCACGGCUAAAGAGAUUAUGGAUUCAUUAAGGGGAAUGUUUGGGCAACCAGAAUGGUCCUUAAGACACGAGGCAGUCAAAUACAUUUACACUAAGCGUAUGAAGGAAGGGACCUCUGUUAGAGAACAUGUUCUGGACAUGAUGAUGCACUUCAACAUCGCUGAAGUGAAUGGUGGUCCCAUCGAAGAGGUUAAUCAAGUUAGUUUUAUCUUAGAGUCUCUUCCGAAGAGCUUCAUUCCAUUCCAAACGAAUGCGUCUUUGAACAAGAUAGAAUUUAACUUGACAACCCUUCUGAAUGAACUCCAGCGAUUCCAAAACCUAACUAUGGGUAAAGGAAAACAAGUGGAAGCAAAUGUUGCUACCACAAAAAGAAAAUUUAUAAGAGGAUCGUCCUCUAAAACCAAAGCUGGACCCUCAAAACCUAAUGCUCAAAUAAAAAAGAAGGGAAAGGGAAAGACUCCCAAACAGAACAAGGGUAAGAAAGCUGCAGAAAAAGGUAAGUGUUACCAUUGUGGCCAAAACGGGCACUGGUUAAGAAACUGCCCAAAAUACCUUGCAGAAAAAAAGGCAGAGAAGGAAACACAAGGUAAAUAUGAUUUACUAGUUGUAGAAACAUGUUUAGUGGAAUAUGAAAAUUCUACCUGGAUACUAGAUUCAGGAGCCACUAACCAUAUUUGCUUCUCAUUUCAGGAAAAUAGUUCUUGAAAAAGCUUUCAGAAGGUGAGAUCACUCUCAAGGUUGGAACAGGAGAGAUGGUCUCAGCUUCAGCAGUGGGAGUUUUAAAGUUGUUUUUUAGAGAUAGAUAUGUCAUACUUAAGAAUGUCUUAUAUGUACCUCAAAUGAAAAGAAAUUUAAUAUCUAUCUCUUGUAUUUUGGAACAAAUGUAUAGAAUAUCUUUUGAAAUUAAUGAAGCGUUCGUUUUCUAUAAAGGUAUUCUAGUUUGUUCUGCUAUACUUGAAGACAACUUAUAUAAGUUAAGACCAACUAGAGCAAAUUUUGUCUUAAAUACUGAAAUAUUCAGAACAGCUGAAACUCAGAAUAAAAGACAAAAAGUUUCUUCUAAUGCCUAUUUAUGGCACUUAAGACUUGGUCACAUAAAUCUCAAUAGGAUUGGGAGAUUGGUUAAAAGUGGGCUUCUAAGUCCGUUAGAAGAUAACUCUUUACCUCCUUGUGAAUCUUGUCUUGAAGGAAAAAUGACCAAGAGAUCUUUUACUGGAAAAGGUCUAAGAGCCAAAGGACCCUUAGAGCUCGUACAUUCGGACCUUUGUGGACCAAUGAAUGUCAAAACUCGAGGUGGAUAUGAAUAUUUCAUUAGCUUCAUUGAUGAUUAUUCAAGGUAUGGUCAUAUUUACCUAAUACAUCAUAAGUCUAAUAGUCUUGAAAAGUUCAAAGAAUAUAAGGCUGAAGUAGAAAACGAAUUAGGUAAAACAAUAAAAAUACUUCGAUCAGAUCGAGGUGGAGAGUAUAUGGACUUACGAUUCCGAGACUAUUUAAUAGAAAAUGGAAUCCAGUCACAACUCUCUGCACCUAGUACACCUCAACAGAACGGUGUAUCAGAAAGAAGAAACUGGACCUUGUUAGACAUGGUUCGCUCUAUGAUGAGUUUUUCUCAGAUGUCAGAUUCUUUUUGGGGAUAUGCUUUAGAAACAGCUGCUUAUAUUUUGAAUAAUGUUCCCUCUAAAAGUGUUUCAGAAACACCUUAUGAGCUAUGGAAAGGGCGUAAAGGCAGUUUACGUCAUUUUAAAAUUUGGGGUUGUCCAGCACAUGUGUUGGUACAAAAUCCAAAGAAAUUGGAACAUCGUUCAAAAUUAUGCUUUUUUAUAGGUUAUCCAAAAGAAUCAAGAGGUGGUUUGUUUUAUGAUCCUCAAGAAAAUAAAAUACCACAUCAGGGAUCAUCAACCUUGUAGUAAACUAGUAUUUAAAGAAAUUUCCAAAAGUGCUAUAGAUAAAACCUAGUUCAUCCACUAAAGUAGUUGAUAAGACUAGGAAAUCUGGUCAAUCACAUCCUUCUCAACAGUUGAGAGAGCCUCGACGUAGUGGGAGGGUUGUUCAUCAGCCUGAUCGCUAUUUGGGUUUAAUUGAAACUCAAGUCGUCAUACCUGACGAUGGCAUAGAGGAUCCAUUAACCUAUAAACAGGCAAUGAAAGAUGUAGAUCGUGACCAAUGGAUCAAAGCCAUGGACCUCGAAAUGGAGUCUAUGUACUUUAAUUCUUUCUAGACUCUAGUAGAUCAACCAAAUGACGUAAAACCUAUUGGUUGUAAAUGGAUCUACAAGAGAAAACGAGACCAUGCCGGUAAAGUACAGACUUUUAAGGCUCGACUUGUGGCAAAGGGUUAUACCUAGAGAGAGGGAGUAGACUAGAGGAAACUUUCUCUCCCGUUGCCAUGUUAAAGUCAAUUAGAAUACUCUUAUCCAUCGCCACUUUUUAUGAUUAUGAAAUUUGGCAGAUGGAUGUCAAGACAGCUUUUUUGAACGGUAAUCUUGAAGAGAGCAUCUAUAUGUCUCAACCAGAGGGGUUUAUAAAACAAGAUCAAGAACAAAAGGUUUGUAAGCUUAAAAAAUCCAUUUAUGGAUUAAAACAAGCUUCUAGAUCCUGGAAUAUAAGAUUUGAUAUUGCGAUCAAAAUCUUAUGGCUUUGAACAAAAUGUUGACGAGCCUUGUGUUUACAAAAGGUCGUCAAUUCCAUUAUAGCAUUUUUUAGUCUUAUAUGUAGAUGAUAUUCUACUUAUUGGAAAUGACGUAGGAUAUCUUACUGAUAUCAAGAAAUGGCUAGCUAUGCAAUUUCAAAUGAAAGAUCUGGGAGAUGCACAAUACGUUCUCGGAAUCCAAAUUGUUCGAAACCGUAAGAACAAAACACUAGCCAUGUCUCAAGCAUCUUACAUAGACAAAAUGUUGUCUAGAUAUAAAAUGCAGAAUUCCAAAAAGGGUCUGCUGCCGUACAGAUAUGGAAUUCAUUUGUCAAAGGAACAAUGUCCUAAGACACCUCAAGAAGUUGAGGAUAUGAGAAAUAUUCCCUAUGCUUCCGCUGUUGGAAGUUUAAUGUAUUCAAUGUUAUGUACUAGACCUGACAUUUGCUACUCAGUAGGGAUGGUCAGUAGGUAUCAAUCCAAUCAUGGACGUGAUCACUGGACAGCCGUUAAAAACAUUCUACAUGCUCAUGUAUCGUACAAAGGAUAUGAUCCUUACUGGAUACACUGAUUCGGAUUUCCAAACUAAUAAAGAUGUUAGAAAGUCUACAUCAGAAUCAGUAUUUACUCUAAAUGGAGGAGCAGUAGUUUGGAGAAGCAUAAAGCAAACUUGUAUAGCUGAUUCCACAAUGGAAGCUGAUCAUUUUACAAAAGCCCUCACGGCUAAAGUGUUUGAGGGUCACCUACACAGUUUAGGUGUACGAUGUUUGUAAACUAGGACAAGUGGGAGACUUAUUGGCCAUGUUUCAUAUAUAUUCUCUCACACCACAUCUCUCAUACCACUAGGAAUUUUAGUCCAAGUGGGAGUUUGUUGGAAUUUUUUGUCCUAAAACUCGUAGUUUGUAAAUCAUAUUCUAUUCAAUAAAGUUGUUAUUGAGAAAUUAAAUAUUAUAAUCUUAAAUCCAAUAAAUCAAAGUUCCAAGGCUAUUUUUUGAAUAAACUUGAACUUUAUGUGUAAACAUAAACGUGGAUCAAGUUCGAGUAUAUAGCCUAAAUAGUCUAUAGUAUAUGAAAUAAAGGUUGGGCGCCUUAUUUUGAGAGACUAUGGAUGCGGCCCACUUUGUAGUACAAACGAUGUGAUCCUAAUCGUUCAUGUAGAGACAUGAAAGUGGGGGCAUCCUAUGUAAAAUGUUUACAUAAGACUGAACCAUGAAUUAGUCAUUUUUACGUUAUAACAUCGUUUACUGUUUAAAACUGACUAUCUCAAUUAUUGAUGACCUAGGUAACUUAGUCUUAAUCCUGAGUUAACUAUGAACUCCUGUUCAUACGAGAUUAUCCUUAGAUCUGCAUAGGUGAGGGCAGCUCAUCAGCGUUGGCCCAAUAAGCCUCCCAUUUCAGGGGUAAGAUCGGGUGGAUAGCUGGGAACAUAGGGUACAAGAUGGAAUUCACUCCUACCCGCUUUAGGGUUAGUAGAUAGGUUGCUCUCUUAAGCACUAAAUCCAAGUCUUGAACAAGGGGCCCCACCCUCUCAUUGGCCCGAGAGGGAUUAAGUUUAUAGGUUGAACCUUAAACCAAUUGUUCAAUAGUGGAUUAGUGGGACUUAAGGAGCAAGAUGUAAUCUUGGGGGUAAAACGGUAUUUUGACCCAGCCAAGGUUACGAGCAACCUGUGAAGGAUUAACUUACUGAUUAUGGUUUUAUCAAAUGGACACAAAUAUAUCUAUAGUGAGGGGAGUGCAACUACGGGACUUUAGUGGAAUGACCCGUUAGUUAACGAAUGUUGAUUAACUCGGUUUAAAAGAGUUUAGCUAGUUAAUCUUGAAUCGUUGGAGCCCAUGAUCUAUAGGUCCAUUAGGUUCCUCUGCUAGCUCAUAUGGAUUAAACUUAGAACAGUGUGAUGAAAUAAGUCGAAUUGUUCGAAUUGGGAGAAGAAAGGAAAACCGACAUAUACAGUGAUAUAAUCGUCGAUCUUCUAAUUAGAAAUAGAGCUUUAUGUUUUACAUACUAUAAGUAUGAAUGCGGAUUCAUACUAAGAAGCUCGAAAUUGGUCAAAAAUAGUAAAAAGUCAAAAUGUUGACUUUUGACUUUGAAAAGUCAAACUUUGACCGGCCUUAUAUUCAAAUGUGAUUUGAAUUUUGGAAAAAUGAAUGCGGAUUCAUGCUCGGGAGGUUGGAAUUAGUCAAGACGGACAAAAUGGUAAAAAGUCAAAAUAUUGACUUUUGACUUAGAAAAGUCAAAGUUUGACUUUUGACUAGAAAAAUCUAAUGACCAUUUUACCCUUGGACUAAGUUAGUGGGAAAAUCCAACAUUUUGUUGGAUAAUCCCACUAACUCUUAGUGGGAUAUGUGGCUAUAUGAGAUAUAGACACCUAGCCCACUAAGUUCCACUAAUUGUUAGUGGAAUAUUAGGUGUUGAGAUUUGGCAAUUGAAUUGCAUGCAUUUUUGCAUGUAAUUAGGCUAUAAAUAGAGAUGUUUUCAAAUGUUGAAGGACUUUUGCCUCUUUUAUCAUUUUCAUAAUCUCAACAAAAGAAAAAAGAAAGCUUCCAAUCUCAUUUUAUCUCCAUUACUUUCUACACCAAAAUUGGGUCCCACAACCCGGUUCUUUGUCUAGAGGAUAGCAGUUGAGUACUAGUGGUGGUCUCGGGUAGAAUUGGUAAGAAGACAUCAAACCUUUUGAAAGCUUCAAAGGUAAUACUUCUUAAAACCCUAAUUUGAUUAGUUUAUAGUUACAUGUUAAUUGUGGCAAUUAGGGUAGAAAUUCGAUUCUUUUUCCGCUGUGCAUGACUUAGUUCUAUCAGCACACACACAUCUACACACACAUGCACACACGCAUACACGCACACACACAUACGCACACACACAUCAACUCACACGGGCAAACGCGCACUCGCACAUAUGCACACACACGCACACACGUACAUAUGCACAAAGAUGUGAAAAUGAAUUAAAUUUAAAAAACAAUUACAUUAAUUGUGUUUAGAAUGACUUUUAAACUAUAUUCAUUUAACUUAAUAACAUUAAUUAAAUUAUAAUUUCUAUUAAUAUUGAUUUAAGAGUGUCAUUACUGUAAUUAUAUCAAUAUAAUGCGGUCUUAUCCAAUUUUACCAACAAAAAACAAGUCAAAUAUGGACUAGUAAAUCCACACUCUUUGUCAUAAGAGAUAUAAUAACGUUUUUAUGGGUCAUUUUAAAAAAAAUGACAAAACAACUUUUUCUUUUGAAUUUUAGCAAAUAGCAUUUUUUAUUUGAAAAAGAUACAUCAACCCAUAAUAACACUACAACAAAUCUGGGUUUGUAGUGUCAGGUGAAAAAAAUGAAAAAUUAUCUUUAUUGUCGUUUUUGAAAAGGUGGAUCAAACCGACAUUAAUGAUAAGGGUUUAAUGUCGUUUUUAAAUCGACAUUAAUGAUCAGCCAGUUUUAUUUUUUUAAUUUUUUGUAUUUUGUAAAAAAGGACAUUAAUUACCCCCCAUUUUUAAUUUCUUUUUAAAAAAUUGUUAGGUUUUAAAAACUAAAUUUUUCAUCUCUUUCUUACUCUACUCUUUCCCUAUCAAUUUUUCUUUUCUUUCUCUCCAAGUUGGUUUCUAAUUUUGUUCUCUUCUCAAUCUGUGACCCUAGAUCGCGAACGGCAACCAAUCUUCAUCGUGCUUCCGCCGCAAAAAUCCUUGGGUUUCUUCAUUUGAUUGUUAACUUGUGACUGCUAGGUAGCAUUAUUGAUUAUUAAUUGUCUUUAUUUUUUCAAAUGUGCAGCCUUAUUCAUACUACCUUUUGUUAGAAAAAUGAAAGAAGAGAAGGCAUAGAAAUGAGCUUGGUAACUAGCAUUCUUGUAGGUGGAUUUGCCAAAAUGGAAAAUGUAGAGUAAGUAAUUUUGGUAUAGCUAUUUGGAGUGUUAUGUGAAGCACAAUAUCUUCAUAAUGUGAUGCGUUUUGGUUUUCGAUUGAGAUCAAUCUUGGUAAUUAAUUGUUUUGAAUUGUGUUUUAUUUUAUCUUUUAGUAGUAAAUGUUUUUGUUUUCUUUAGUUUAGUUUGAGUAUUAGUCUGUUUUGAUAUAUUUGUAGGUUGCAUCUAUUUAUCCAUAUAUUUAUCUUUGAUCAAUACCUAGCUAGUGGAGUCUCUUCUUUUUAUGGGCUUCCUUAUAUUCCAUGUUCUUUUACUAUAUAUUUGAGAUUUUCACCUUCCAUAAAUGAAAUAAAUUAACUAUUUUCAUUUGAAAAGAAAAACGAUCCAAUAGGAGUUUGUAAGAUUAUUUAUCAUCUCCAUUGUUUAACUUUCUCUAUAAAAACAAUGUUGCUAUUGAUGGGUAAAUUUAUACAAUUAAGAGUAAGAAGCCUAUAGACUAGCAUUGCUAAAUUGAACAUUCAAAAUUUGCUUUGAAGUAAGAGUCGAGGAUGGUAUAAUUAUUCUUUAGUUGUAUUCCUCUUUUUCUUAUAGAUCUUUGAAGAACCAAAUUAGGUUAUUUUCUUCUUCUUAAUGAGUUGUUUGAUCAAAGCUUAUUUUCUUCUUUAUUUUUGCAGCACUUUUGGGUUGCCAUUUCAAUUGUCUUCUUUGUUGCUGCUACAUUAUUUACUCUACUGAAACUUUGUGGUAAUUUUUAAUUUUCCACAUUUAGAUUGCAGUCUGUUUAGUUUGAUUUUAAAUAAUAUGUACUAAUUUUGCAAAUUCUAGAUUUAAUCUUCCCCAGGUUGUAAAGUAUAUUUUGGUCUUAGAUAGCCAGCCAAGACCAAUCUGACGGUGGAGAAUUUUCUUUGGAAGACUUGGGUUUCCGAGGGGUCUGCCGCCCUUGAUUUCGGCACCGUUAAGGCUAGAAGAAGAAGAAAGUGGUGGAUCGACGAGAUGGGUAUGUCGCAACAUAGAGUUUCUUGGCUGCUUCACGUUAGAGAGGAAGAGCGAAAUUUUGGAGGUAUAGGAAGAGCGAAACGGAAUUUGAGAGAUAGGAAAUCGCAGGGUUUGAGGAAGACGAAGAAGAGAAGGGGAGAUGAGAGGCAGAGUAAACCGAUCGAGAAGAAAAAGGGGAAAGAAAUUUGAAAUAAAAGAGACCGUUGAGGUUGAAGAAGAGGGGAAAGAAAAUUGACCGUGGAGGAGAAGCUUUUUUCGUUUAUUUGAUUUUUGUAUUAAAUAUUUUCUAUGAAAAUUAAAAAAGAAAAAGUUAAAAGGCAAAUAUUUUCUACUUUUUUUUUAUUUAUUCUAUGAAAACUCAAUAAUAAAAAAGCAUCUAUAUUUGCUUUUGGUAUGGUUCACAUUUUUAUUUAUUUGACAAAAAUCUAACUAAAUUAUCAUUCAUUUUGACCUAAUAUUGCAAAUAUAAAUUUAUAUUUUGCAUCUUAACUACUCUUUGGCAUUUAUAAUAUCAUUGUUUCACACCUCAAUUUUUUUAUUGUUGUCAAAAAUAAACUUAAUCCAAAAUGAAUUAGCAAAUUAGGGAAUAAAUGUAAUCAUUGUUUUUGGGAGUUUGAGUUCGACCGUGAUUAUUGUUGAAUAAUUUUCACUUAGACAUGGACAUUUUGCUAUUUUAGCAAUUUAAAUUUAAAAUUUUCUUUUAUCAAAAGUAAACCUCUUGUUUUAAUGUUUUUCUGGUCAUCCCUUUUAAAUACAACUAAUGACAAAUGAAUAUAACAAUUAAGAAAUUCGUAGAUAUAUAACAACAUUUUAAACUAAUUGCUGCAGUUAUUUUAAAUCACAUAUGUCAUUCGCUUAUAAGCCAUAAGAGUCUAUUAACGAUAUAAAUCUAUCACAAAUAUAUUUUGCUACAUUUACAAUUUUUAAAAGAUAUUGUUAUAUACUUAAUUAUUAUUCAUAAAAUUACUAAUCCAUUAUACUUACCCUAAGUUAAAUGAAUAAUGUCAAAAGUAAGUUUACUACGAAGGUAAUUUGUGUGACCCUUUUAUCCUAACGUAGGAAGUUUGUUCCACUCCAUACCAUUAUUGAACUAAGAAGAUUAAGUGUGUAUUAGUAUGUUUAAACAAGUAUAAUUAUAGCAAAUUCUAUGAGUGAUAUAUUUAUAUUAGCAAUACAAUAUGUGUUACAUAUGCAAAUAUUUUGUAUCUAAUCGUUGUAUUUGCAAUUAACUCCAUUCAAAUAUACAAAUAUAAACAUAACUCUUUAACCUGAGUUUAGCUAGGAUCACAAACUACAAAAAGAAAGUAUGGAAUAUAUUUAAUUUGUUUUUUUUUCUUUGAAGAAAAUUUGGUGUGUAGCACAUUAUAUAUUUUUCUUUCCAUUAAAAAACAGUAUUGAUCUUAUAAUAUACGGCCUUGCACAAUGUAUUCACCAUAAAGAUCAUAUAAUUGUAGAGAUGUAUAGAAGGUCUGAUAAACAACAUAAACGAAAAGUUCUAAUCCUUGAAAUUGUAAACAUUACCCAUAUCCUACAAUAAAAGUCACAUCAACUUGAUAUUUGUUGAAAUUUAACAAAAAUGAAAAGAAAGCAACGACAAACCAAUGACGAUGGAAGAAGAUACAGUUUUCAAACACAACCAGCUAUCCAAAUUAUUCAUAAUAUGGUAUUAGAAAAUAUAUUGCAAUUUGUAACCUCAUAAGUUUAUAAACAGAGUAAAAAUUAAAGGAAAUUUUUUUAUCAAGCUUAUAUUAGGACUUUAUACUACUUAUAUGUAAUUCUUAAGUUUUCUUCUUUUAGCUAUAAAAGACACAAAUUAAGAAAAAAAAUGACUUGAUUGUCCAUGUAAAGUUAUGCCCCAACUUUUUUCUUCUAACUUAAGAAAAGGAACACCAACAAAUAUCUAUCCCCAUAAACUAAAAAGCAUAGGAAAAUGAUAGUAAAAGUAAAAUCAUCUUUUUCUGUUAUCUUUUUCCUUCAUUCAUUUACUUCUAAUUGAAAAUAAAUCAAAAGUCUAAAACCGAUCAAAUUAUUGAAAACAAAAAAACAAGAAACAUAACAGUGUGGAGAGGUAGUUAUUAUCAAGUAUUUGAUUUUGUUUAAUAGAUUCCAGUUGUGACAACCACAACAAUUGUAUGCAUGAAGUUCAUCAUUCAAACAGAUUCUGACAACAAAUUUCAACACAUCUGCAAGGCGAAAGAAGAUAGGAAUUAGGAUAACAAGGUAAUUAGAACACUGAAAUAAAUUUUAAAAAUAAUUUUAUUGCCGAUUGCUACUAUAAGCAUAAUUAUCUGCUUGUAUAGUUGUCUUGCAUGAUCUGACAAAUACAUUAUGGUAUUUGAUAUUCCAUUCAGGUUGUAUCUUGCAUGUUACCAACAAAAUCAUGUGCUUAGUGAUAAAUUACUCUUAGACUGAGAAAUACUCGAAAAAAAAUCAAGAGUAACAACUCUUAGUUUCCCAGAAAAAUUGAAACAAAAUCAUGACAAACCAACAACAAGAACUUCAUAAACUUGUCUGAUGAAAGCAACUCAAGAACAGUCUCAAUGCAGAUCAUACAUGAGUUCUUUGCUAAAAUAUUUCCAAAGGCUAAAAAGAGUUAAGGAAAAAAAGAAAAACAAUAAUUACCUGUAAUUUUCGUUGGUUCAUGAUCUUCUCUUGUCAUUCCCUCACUUUAAUCUCAUAACUGAAAAGGAAAAGAGGAGGGAGGGGUGAUUAAACUCAUGCAUGUACAUAAUGUCGAAACCAGCAAAAUUACCACCCUAUUAACUAUGAAAGUCUGGUUGUGGUCGAAGUAGGGUGAAAGUCAGUGUAGAUUAGGAUAGAUGUCACCGUGAAGCUCACUGUCGGUUGGGGGAGAACAUAAAAAUUGACUUUUUUCUUUUAUAACAGGCUGGGGUGAACUGGCUGGCAAGGAGGAAGUGACAUGCUACCACUAGGUUGUGUUAGGUGUGAACAAUGGACAAUGGUGGCUAGAAGUGAGGGAAGGGCUUUGUCAAAGGGUCGUGCAGGGCUGAACUCCAACUGUCCAAUAUUAGUUUGUUCGGUUACUUUCUUUGUUUCACCCAUAUCAAUGUCUGCAAAAAUUCCCACAAUAUAUAGAAAUGGAAAUAAAGAUCCUUAAGUUCUUUGAGAAAAAUCAUAAAUAUAGCCACAAAAUUUCUCCAAUUAUUUGUUACUUAAAAAAGUAUAGAAAUUGUCAACCAAGCUCAACUAACGCCUGUAUGUAUGUACUUAGAACCAAGAGGUCUCGGGUUUAAAUCCCUCUACCCAAAAUUUGUCCUAAAUCUCAACUUUUUUACAAUCAAUCCUAAAACUCUUUUUCUACCCCAUUUGGCCUAAAUCUCAAAAUUUGUCCUAAAUCUCAAUUUUUUAUACUAUUAUAGUUGUAGAAUAAAAAAUUUUAGAUCAAUCACGCAUUAUCGUUGAAUUCAAGACUAAUUAAAAAUUGACAUGUGUCCCAAAUUAAAAUUGAAAAAAAAUAUAAAUUUGUUAAUUUGGAUGAUACACAUGUUUGGAUCAAAUUAAUUAUUUUAGUUUAAUUAAUAUUAUUUACUCGGUUAAGACUAAAAUUCAAUCGAGCCAAAAAAAUAAAUUUAAUUUAGCUCUGGUCCAUAAAUCAACCAGACUCAAGUUCAUAAAAGCCACUAAAGAACUCUAUAGAUACUGGAGUUCCCUUCAUUUGAAGAUACAAACUUUCUUUCAAGACUCCAACUUCAAGAACGUCACGUGCUCUGCUUCCUCAAAUCAAGCAUAAGCAUCUAAGUGAGAGAGAAUCAGGAGAUCAAAUGACUCAUUGCAUCAAAUCAACAUAAAUACAUUAUUAAUACAAGUUGGAGUUCACAAAUUAAAUUUCUCUAUAAAGAUCUCGUGUAAACCACAGUGAACCAAGAAGUGAUUAUAAACUGAAUAUUUCAUUAAUAAAUUCAAUCAAAUAAAAUGAAAUACAGGAAAAUUACAACUCUAUUGAACUUGAGAUGAAUCCUCAAAAUUCUAAGUCUUUUCCUUGGACGAAUUCUCUAAUCGUCCGUCAACACACACUUUUGUGGGAUGAGAAAUUUUAGAGCUACUAUGCCUCCCUCAUAGGAACUUUUGUACUUAAGAUUAGCUACUGACUUGGAAUGUUGCGGAAGACCUAUGGAGUUGUUGUAAAAUGGCAGAAAUUGUGAGAAGAUGGUGAUGAAUUUGACUAUAGUUAGUUGUUCCCCGAAAUGGAAGACUUGCUAUAUAAUGUAUUAAUUGACUGUCUCGUUGUUGCUGUCCAUUGUUAUUUUGAUAAAAGGUUUGCAGAUGUAAAUAAUUUGUAAAUUUAUAGAUCUAAGAAUGUUAUCAUACACUUCAUAUUAGAUAAUAAAAAUCACUUGACAAUUUCUCAAACACCACACCGUCUACCGCCUCAAAGUUGAGUUAUUGAUCAUGGUCAAGACAAAGAAAAUAAGGAUUGAGACCACACUUGCGAAGAAGAAAAAUGUUGAGAGGAGAAAAAGAUCAUGCAUGCAAAUGGAAAAAAAAAAAAGAGAAAGUAGGAACUUUGUUUAGGUUCAUCAAGAAGAUAAAUGGAUAUAAAGAAAUAACCAAAAUCAUAACUUGAAUUCUUUCUCAUAUUUGCAAUAGUAGAAAUCUGGAAGACACAUUUGCAAAAUAUCUCAACUUAUUUUGCUACCUAUUACAAUAUUCCUAAACUUAUUGUAAAUGUACACAAUUUUGUAUCUGUGAUCAGUUUCAAGAAUCUCUCCCUAGAGAGAAUAAGUUGCAUCUUCUAAAAGUACUUGCUAUGGCUCAACAUCAACAUACUUUAGGAAACUUUUCAAUAGUUAUUUACAUAAAAGAAAACUAGAAGGUAAAAUAGUAAUGAAUUUCUCCAACUGAAUUUUGUUCGAGUUACAAUAGUUGUAUGUUUAUGCGCAUCUAUAUAUAUAAUGCAAUAAUGUAAGACAACAUGAGCAUAAUGUAAUAUGGAGAGCUGGAGGAUCAAAUAAAAAUAUAAGAAAAUCAGAUUAUUAUCUUUAUGAAAAAAUAAUUAGUACAACAAAAAACAAAAUUAGACUUUACUAAUUGCAGAUCAAAAAUUGCAUCCGCGACGCUGGCAAAUCAGAGUUGCAUGGGAGUUGAAUCCUUAACAAUCUCAUAUAAUGAUAUAAUGUUUUCAAUGCUCAAUAGGCCAAUGAUGCACCAUUCCAAGAGAUCUGAUUUCCUAUUCUGGAGGACUUCUUGAAGAAAAUGAAUGUUAUGCUGCAAGGAAGGUGCAAAUUUAUUAGAGAAGAAUUAAACACUGUUCUAUCUCAAGAAAUAUCAUUUCCAUAAAAGUAAAAGAACCUCCUUCCAGUGAGUAUGAUAUAAGUGGAAGAAUCUAGGUUAAAGAUUUAAAUAAGGAAAUCACAAUGAGAAUGUUGAUUAUUUUUUCCUUAGCUCGGCUUUUGGAAAAGGAACACACACCACUCCCUGAUUUCAUUUGCAUUAUUUUGGGUCAGCUUCAGAAUACACAAACUUCAGAUGGACAGCACAAACACUUGGAAACAAUUUAGCAGAACCAAUUUCUUAAAGAAACAUUCUAAACUAAUUAAAUAAAGAGAGUCCUCAAAACUUCACUCCUUGAAGAACUAUGAAUUGAUUCUCCUACAAUAGUAGCUAGCUUUUGAUAGGACCACGUCCCUUCACCACGGAUUAGAAUAUUGAUGUCAAUAUUUUAAUUUUUUUUAUUCUUCUUCUUUAAAAAAAAUAAACAUUUAAUUCUUGAACAUUGGGAUCUAAAUGUCCAGGGAUAAUAAUGCUCAUACCCACGAAAUAAUAUCCACCAUCCAAACUGUUAAAUAAAAAAAUUCUUUUCCUAAAAUUCUACCGAAGCAGUAGGAAAAGUUGUUAUGUAACUUUUUCUAAAUAAGUGAAGAAAGAGUGGACAAGAAUAUGAUAAAACCAAUAAAAUUAAUCAGAAGCUGCUAGUAUCCAUUUGAUUUAAUACGUUCCAAUCCUUGAAUUUAAAGCCUUGUACAUGUGUGAAUAUUAUGCAUUAACGAUUUAACGAUUUUAAAAUGAAAUAAGAAUGAAGGAUUUAAAUUCAUUCACUUGUGAAAGUUGAGAGAUUUAGUUAAUACAACAUUUAGUAUAAAUUGGUUUUCUUUCCCUUAAAAAGAAUACUAAAGAAAAUACGAAAGUUUUCACGAGGUUACACGUCCUCUCAACACAUUUUCCAUUGCAUAUAACCAAAAAUAGAUAAUAUUGCUUUCAAGUUGGCUAUUGCCACGAUAUUUAAGAAGAACGUUCAAGAGAAGAGGCUCAACUAUACGGAAAAAACCACUUUGAAGGAAUGAAUGGAAUAGAAUGAAAUUACCUCCACAAACUUCAAUUUGAAAUCUAGAUUCCCAAAGCGCUGGGUGACCUCGUACUCUUCCCGAAGGUACUCAUAUAUUUGAGCAUAUUUUGCAUCCCUCCACGCAAUUUCUGAUCUGAGUGGCAAAGGAAAAAGACAUAAAAGAGCACUAAGAUAACAAAAUUCUACCAAUUAAAGCAAUAUUAUGAUCGAAUUUUCUAUGCACGAAUAUUAAUAAUAAUAAGAAGGUAAGAAUGUAUAUAUUUUUGUUUACUUAUAUCAAGCUUGAAAGGCAAACUUUUCUAUGUUAUGAUCUUGGUUCUGUUAGGAUGUCAAAUACAUUUCUGAACAAUAGUAUUAUCCUGGCGCCAAGUACUGCGAAAACCACAUAAGACGUAAUCCAAGCUUUAAAGAGGCUCUAGAUAAAAUAAAAAGAAAAAUGUAUUUGAUAGGCCACUGAUUAUACAUCAGUAUGCUCGCAGGGGCAAAAAGGGCAAAGAAGUAGUUAUUAUUGAGUUGGGAGAAUCAUCCAACAGUAAGAAUGAUUAUCUUGGGUAGUUUUGGGCAUUUAUCUUGACUAGUUUCAGUCUUCAGGUGGUUAGUAGUUGGUUAUGAUCAAGGAAGUUAUGUUACCGUUGCUAUGUUAUGUGUUUAAAUAAGAAGUUAAGUUAGCAGAUGGGUAGACAGUCUUUUAGUUUGAAGUGUUUGGGUUUCUCUCGUGUGGGAAGAAUGGUCUAUGUAAUAGUAAAUUAUCUAUAAUAGAAGAACUUUACUUUAGUAACUAUCAUACUGGUAUAAGAGCCCUCAACCUGGGGAUGAUAGGAAAGGUGGCACAGAAGAAAAUUGAAGAACGGUUAGGCGUAACUGAUUUUGAAAUUGCCAGGAUUUAAGUAGAUGUUCAGAAGUUACCACAAAUUGAAGAAACGCUGCUUGCACUUGCUUAAGAUUGUUCAACGCUUUAUCCUUAUAGCACAGUUGGAACAACAACGAAGGAAUGCAGAUGACACUCAAACAUUAUUGGCUUCUCUAGUUUCAGGUGUUGGAUUGUCAGAUCGCCCUUCCAAUUCGGAAUCGAAUGAGGAAAUUAAGAAUACGACAGUGGCAAACACAGUGGAACCUAUUUAUGGCUAUAGGAGCAAUGCAUUCAGACAAUAAUGAGGGUGAACAGGAUCAUAGCAAAUUAAACAAGUUUGAGAUGUCAGUAUUCAAUGAAUCCGAUCGUUACUUACAAAUCCAUAAACUUACUGAUUCCAAAAAAUUAACAGUGACAGUCAUUAGCUUCAAAGCAGCGGAGCAUUAGCUUCGAAGCAGCGGCUCUCAAUUGGUACCAAGCCACAGACAAACGAGAACCAAUUUUGAAUUGGAAUGAUAUGAAACGAAGAUUGUUGAUCCGAUUUGGCUCAUCAUGCCAAGGUUCAGUUUGUGGGCAAUUUCUCAUAAUCAAGCAAGAAACAGUGGUGGAGGAAUAUUGCAGUCCGUUUUGAUAGGUUAGUGGCUCCUUUACUCCAACUACCUACCAAAAAAAUUAAAAAAAGAACGUGUCCUCUGCAUGUCGUGUCCUAUGCAUGUUGUAUCCUAUAUGUUAAAAAACUGGUGUGUCGUAUCUCGUGUCGGUGUUCGUGCUUCUUAGGUUUUGAAUUUAAAAACUCUUCUAAAUAAUUUUAAAAAAGGAUUUCCUAUUGUUCGGUUUUUCUCUGACUUACCAAUUAAAUUAUUUGGUUGCACUACUUAUGUUCAUAAUCCCAACUCUACUCGUACUUCACUUGAUCUAGCUGUUAAAUGCAUUUUUGUAGGCUGUCUCCUAUAGGAAGGCUUACAAAUGUUUUGACACUUCGACUAAAAGGUAUUUUGAGAGUAUGGAUAUGUCUGUUUUUGGAAAAUCAACCUUUUUUUAGCCAAAAUUCUCUUUAGAGGGAGUCCCCUAACCUUAAGAUAAUUUUUGGGACACUUAACCUAUCCCAAACACCAUUGAUUCCAAAGUUAUGAGCUAACUCUUGACGUCAAGUGUGGAGAGUUCUUCAGGGGGAGAACCACUAUAGACUGACUUGACAAGUAAAAACCUGAACUACAGCUUUAUAAUAAAAGAAACUUGACUCGAAGGAAUUGAGAAUGAUCUAUCACAAAACCAAACUAAUACCCCGAUAAAUGAUUAUGAAGAUCCAGGUAACAUACAUUCUCCUUUUACUUCGUCUAAUUCUCCCCGUUCUUCUCAUAAUUCCUUGUCUAAUGUCUCUGAUCUUGAUAUUACAAUUGCCAACAGGAAAGGUACCAGUAAAUUUGUCAAAUAUCCCAUUGCAAACUAUCUUUCUUAUCGUAAACUUUCACAAUCAUAAAGCCUUUACAUCCAAAAUAAUCAACCUGUUUGUUCCAAGGAAUAUACAAGAGGUCCUAAAUGAUUUGAAUUGGAAAUUAGCAGUGAUGGAAGAGAUGAAUUCUACAUGGGAUAUACUUGAACUACGAAAAGAAAAGAAAACAGUUGGAUGCAAGUGGAUGUUUACGCUAAAAUGUAAAGCUGAUGGUAGUGUCGAGAGGUACAAGGUUGGAUUGGUUGCUGAGGGGUUUACUCAAACCUAUGGAGUUGAUUAUCAAGAAACAUUUGCUACAGUUGUCAAAAUCAAUUCUAUUAGAAAUUUGUUGUCUGUUGUAGCUAACUUUGAUUGGCCUCUUUAUCAAUUGGAUGUUAAGAAUGUCUUUCUCAAUGGGGAACUGAAAGAAGAGGUAAUUAUGGACUUGCCACCUAGUUUUAAGGUAGAUCUCGGGAUUAACAAAGUUUGCAAGUUAAAGAGAUCAUUAUACGGUCUCAAACAGUCUCCUAGAGCUUGAUUUGAACGCUUGUAUAUUCCUUGGAACAAACAGUCUCCUAGAGCUUGAUUUGAUUCGAGAAAGUAGUCACGGGCUAUGGAUUCAGUCAAAGCCAAGUCGAUCAUAUGAUAUUCUACAAACAUACAGGAAAUGACAAGGUUAUGAUUUUGAUAGUUUAAUUUGAUGAUAUCGUUCUUACAAGCAAUGAUGAGACAAAACAAACUUUUGUGAAGAAAAAGUUGGCAGAUGAUUUCCAGAUCAAGGACCUAGGAACUUUAAAGUACUUCCUAGGCAUGAAGUUUGCCAGGUCCAAAAGUGGCAUUCUUUUCAAACAAAGGAAGAAUAUUAUUGAUAUGUUAAAAGAGACAGGUUUACUUGGUUGCAAGGUAGCAGAAACUCCCAUUGAGCAGAAUUUGAAAUUGAAAGUUGCAACCAAGAAUGAGAUAAAGGAAAGAGAAAAGUACUAGAGACUUGUAGGAAGACUCAUAUAUCUUUCCCACACGUCCUAACAUUGCUUUUGAAAUUAGUAUCAAAAGUCAGUUCAUGCAUGCUCUUGAACCAACUCACUUUUAUGCCGUUUAUAGAAUAGAAUCCUAAGUAUUUGAAAGGUACUUGAGGAAAAGACACAUUGUUUCAAAGACAUGAUCAUCUAAUGUUAACGUUUACACUAAUACUAAUUGGGCAGGUUGCAUGACUGAGAUCUGGUUACUGCCCCUUCCUUGAAGGAAAUCUUGCUACUUGGCAAAGUAAAAAACAGAGUGCUGUUGCAAGAAGUAGUGCAGAAGCAGAAUUUAGAGCUUUAACCCAACGCAUUUGUGAGUGUAAAUGAAUAAGAUUGUUGGAAGAAUUGGGAUUCACUCAAACAAUGCUCAUGCAGUAUCACGGCAGCAAUUUCCAUUGCCCACAAUUCAGUCCUUUAUAACAAGACGUAACAUACUGAAGUCAAUAAACACUUUAUAAAGCAAAAGACCAAUGUGGGAGUAAUAUGCAUACCCUACCUUCCGACAACAGAACAAAUUGCAGAUGUGUUAACUAAAGGCCUUCCAAAGUGGCAAUUCAACAAACUGAUUGACAAGCUAGCAAUGACUGAUAUCUUCAAACCAGCUUGAGGGGAAAUGUUGAUUAUUUCCUUUAUUGUAUUAUAUUUUAUUGUGUUGGUUGUAUAAUAUUUGCCAAAUUUAUUUUUUCCUUUUUUGUAAUGAGUUGUUUUAUUUAAGUAAAAUCUUGCUAUUUGUGAAAUAAACAAGAAAUAUAUUAUUUUAGCAUAAAUCAAUGAAGUCUUAAUUCCAAGCGAUGUUUACUGGAUUUUGUUUGCCUCUUUAUUUGUUUUGAGGAUCUUUUUUCUUCUACUUUGUUUGCUUAUUGGUUUGUAUUUUGAGUAUAUCUCUUUUCAUUUCCCUACGUGAUGGGAAACUUGUUUUCAUUUCCUUAUGUGAUGGGAAACUUCCGCAAGGAAGUCUCUUACUGUGAGGAACCAGACUAUUCCUAUAUUUGCACAAUUCCGAGUAAACGAUGUAUAAGAAUGCUUAACGACAGAUGGUCUUCCUUUUUAAGAAUGUCCUGCGUUGUGGGUGGUCUCUUAUUCCGCCGCUUUCUAGAGCUAUGCCGCUGCCAUUACCCCUUGGAUUGGCCAUGAGACAAACAUUUUAGUUUCUUCAUUGCAAGUCUCUUUGCAUUUCCUUAAUGAACAGUUUUUUAUAUAUAUUGUAUCCUUUUCAAAACAAUAAUAAAUAAAAUAAAAAGACAGCUAUCUGUUUAGACCAAUAUACUAUAAGUCCAAUACCAACUAUCGGGGUUUUACCUCUCAAAAAGACCAACUUUGAGAAUUACAUCUGCUAAAUUUGAAUUGGCCUUUCCAACAAGUUGAAGGAGCUUUUUCUUAUCCAUAGUGAAUGUUCCUGUUUUCUCCAUUUUACGAUUUAUAUCUGCAAACUCUUCAACCAAACUAUCAACCUGAAAAAGAAAAGAGAGAAAAGAAAAGGCAUGUUUUGAGAACACAAAUACAAGCACUAAUUGGUGCUGAAGAUUAAAAUGCCAAACUCGGAGAAUUAGUAACUUAGAUAUUUAAUGAGCAAGCAGAUCUCAUAACCUCCGUCAUUCCAGCUAAGUGACAAAAAAUGUCAAUUAUGACACGAUGAUGGAAAAGUUGCAGGAAAUUAUGAUGUCACCAAUCAUGCUUUAGGAAUAGGUCUAGAAAUAAUAUGAGUGGCCUACUAGGUUGUCCCAGGAGUAAAUAAAAGAAUGUGAUAGACUGCCAAUGAUUGUUCACAUAACCAGGCAUUGUAAUCCCAUUUUUUUAUUUUGCUUCCAUACCAAAUUGUAAAACCAAAUUGUAUUUAUAUGUUGUCUUGAUCUUUUGGGAUCAUUCUUUGGAUUGGAGUCCUUUAUUGUAGGAAGGGUUGAACUCUCUUUUCUAUCCUCUUGAGUGCCCUUCUAUGUUCUUCAUUUCUCUCCAAGAAAUUGUGGUUUUGAAUAAAGAUUAAAGAAACAAAAAAUUGAUAAAAAUCAGUUUGACAAAAUGUAAUUUUUAAAAAGAACAUAAAUAACUACAGACAUUUCAAGAGCUCCCCAUCUCUCCUAAUCCUAACCAAAGAUAAUUCUUAGAGAGAACCUAUUGGCACCUACUAACCAAUAUAUACCCAUCUACUAGGAACGGGUCUGGUUUCAUUAAAAGAUUAUAGCAAUGAUUCUACAGUUUUGUAUCCUAUUUGACACCUUUAAGGAUUAUUUUGUGUGUUGUAUUUUGUUUUUCAUAGACACCUGUCUAAUGAAGAGCUGUUACCUAUAAUUGGAAAAAUUCACCCAUCAGAGCAUUACUAUGCAAAACAACAGGCAGAAUAUAUCAUACAGCAGGUACUCAUCCAUAACGAAUCUUAAAAACCCAUAUGCAAGUCGAUGAAUUUUUUAGCUUUACUUUUACGAUUGAGAUAUUGCUUGGAUAUUGUGGCACAUAUUAAUGUCAUCAACAAACAUCUCAUGAUUCUUAUGUAUGGUUGUAGAAACAAUUUACUCUUUCUUUUCCUCUAUCAGUGAGAGCUUGCUGGGUUGUCCAUGGAUUGUUUUAUACUCUGUACAGUUAUUUUAAUUUUUACUUGACCGACCACCCAUCACAUAUAAGUAAUAUUGUGUAAAAUUCAUUUUACGAGUAGUAAAAUCGGUCAUAUUAAAACGCAGUCAUUACACCAAUUGUUUUCUGUUUGCACUUUGUGGACUGAAUGGUUAUUCUCUUGGAAGUUCCUUUAUCAGAUUUCAUUAUAAAUCUAUUGCAUCUGACUUUUAACUCAAUAAACUGUAGCAUAAUUGUUAAUGUUAUUAUGGUCCUCAUUGAUUUUAAUAAGAUAGACCAAGUGUUCUCUAUCAGCCUCAGAACAUAAGAUAUAGUAUGACGUCAUUUAUCUUAUCAUUUUACAUGGAAGAACUUUCUUGCAAAUGUUUUCUAAAUGAGAAAACAUUACCAUAAGGCAUAAGAUCUAGAAUUAGACUAGGCCUGGAAAAUAUUUUCAUCUUCCAGAGGGAGCAACUGUUGGAAUUUUUUGUCCUAAAACUCGUAGUUUGUAAAUCAUAUUCUGUUCAAUAAAGUUGUUAUUGAGAAAUUAAAUAUUAUAAUCUUAAAUCAAUAAAUCAAGUUCCAAGGCUAUUUUUAAAUAAACUUGAACUUUAUGUGUAAACAUAAACGUGAUCAAGUUCGAGUAUAUAGCCUAAAUAGUCUAUAGUAUAUGAAAUAAAGGUUGGGCGCCUUAUUUAGAGAAACUAUGGAUGCAGCCCACUUUGUAGUGCAAACGAGGUGAUCCUAAUCGUUCAUGUAGAGACAUGAAAGUGGGGGCAUCCUAUGUAAAAUGUUUACAUAAGACUGAACCAUGAAUUAGUCAUUUUUACGUUAUAACACCGUUUUACUGUUUAAAACUGACUAUCUCAAUUAUUUGAUGACCUAGGUAACUUAGUCUUAAUCCUGAGUUAACUAUGAACUCCUGUUCACACGAGAUUAUCCUUAGAUCUGCAUAGGUGAGGGCAGCUCAUCAGCGUUGGCCCAAUAAGCCUCCAUUUCAGGGGUAAGAUCGGGUGGAUAGCUGGGAACAUAGGGUACAAGAUGGAAUUCACUCCUACCCGCUUUAGGGUUAGUAGAUAGGUUGCUCUCUUAAGCACUGAAUCCAAGUCUUGAACAAGGGGCCCCACCCUCUCAUUGGCCCGAGAGGGAUUAAGUUUAUAGGUUGAACCUUAACCAAUUGUUCAAUAGUGGAUUAGUGGGACUUAAGGAGCAAGAUGUAAUCUUGGGGUAAAAUGGUAUUUUGACCCAGCCAAGGUUACGAGCAACCUGUGAAGGAUUAACUUACUGAUUAUGGUUUUAUCAAAUGGACACAAUAUAUCUAUAGUGAGGGAGUGCAACUACGGGACUUUAGUGGAAUGACCCGUUAGUUAACGAAUGUUGAUUAACUCGGUUUAAAAGAGUUUAGCUAGUUAAUCUUGAAUCGUUGGAGCCCAUGAUCUAUAGGUCCAUUAGGUUCCUCUGCUAGCUCAUAUGGAUUAAACUUAGAAAAGUGUGAUGAAAUAAGUCGAAUUGUUCGAAUUGGAGAAGAAAGGGAAACCGACAUAUAUAGUGAUAUAGUCGUCGGUCUUCUAAUUAGAAAUAGAGUUUUAUGUUUUACAUACUAUAAGUAUGAAUGCGGAUUCAUACUAAGAAGCUCGAAUUGGUCAAAAAUAGUAAAAAGUCAAAAUGUUGACUUUUGACUUUGAGAAGUCAAACUUUGACCGGCCUUAUAUUCAAAUGUGAUUUGAAUUUUGGAAAAAUGAAUGCGGAUUCAUGCUCGGGAGGUUGGAAUUAGUCAAGACGGACAAAAAUGGUAAAAAGUCAAAAUAUUGACUUUUGACUUAGAAAAGUCAAAGUUUGACUUUUGACUAGAAAUAUCUAAUGACCAUUUUACCCUUGGACUAAGUUAGUGGGAAAAUCCAACAUUUUUGUUGGAUAAUCCCACUAACUCUUAGUGGGAUAUGUGGCUAUAUGAGAUAUAGACACCUAGCCCACUAAGUUCCAUUAAUUGUUAGUGGAAUAUUAGGUGUUGAGAUUUGGCAAAUGAAUUGCAUGCAUUUUUGCAUGCAAUUAGGCUAUAAAUAGAGGUGUUUUCAAAUGUUGAAGGACUUUGCCUCUUUUAUCAUUUUCAUCAUCUCAACAAAAGAAAAAAAACUUCCAAUCUCAUUUUAUCUCCAUUAUUUUCUACACCAAAAUUGGGUCCCACAAACCGGUUCUUUGUCUAGAGGAUAGCAGUUGAGUACUAGUGGUGUCUCGGGUAGAAUUGGUAAGAAGACAUCAACUUUUGAAAGCUUCAAAGGUAAUACUUCUUAAACACUAAUUUGAUUAGUUUAUGUUACAUGUUAAUUGUGGCAAUUAGGGUAGAAAUUCGAUUCUUUUUCCGCUGUGCAUGACUUAGUUCUAUCAGCAACUACAUCUGUUGAUUAACAUCUUCAUUCUGUCUUUAUUUUACAGGCUGAUGCAGAUAAAGAUGGACGUCUCACCUUGGCAGAAAUGAUCGAUCAUCCUUACGUAUUUUACAGUGCCAUUUUCAACGAAGUUGAUGAGGACGAUUAUGAUUUCCACGAUGAGUUUCGUUAAGUUUUUUCAUGUAUGGACACCUCCCUCUAUCUAACAAACUUCGCGGACAAGAUCAGUCUUGAUGUUUGUUGCUGUUGCAGGAAUAGUCGAAUAGUCAGAUAGGAUUAGCAGUAGAAAAACGGAGUUCUUUCACAGCAUGGAAUCGGGAUACAGAGUUUGAAGUCUUAGGCAACAACUUGGAGGCAUCUCUCUGGCAUGGUGGUCAGAACUGGGUUAAACUUCUUCAGCCAUGGCUCGCCCAUAUGGUGGUAUCCCUCUUUUUGUAGCAUAUGAAACCCCCAUCUUGUCUAAGAUAACAAUGGUUUCACACCUUAGAUUAUAGACAUUUAUUUGCAAAUAGUUUUGUUAAGUUCAAUGUCCUUGGUAUAGAAUUACCAUUUAAUUUUAUUUGUUACUAAUUUAUUCUUCCUGGAUAGAAAAUUAUCAAUUAUUCAAUCAUAUUUAUCUUUUGAGUAUAGGGUUUUGAAAAGUGAGCUACAAACAGGUGUGUAAUUUUAGAUUUUGUUGCCUUUUCAAAUAUGAUGUUGGAUAUGAUAUUUGGUUUAAGAAUUUUUGGACCAAUCACGAAAAGUACAAAUAAUUGAAUUUAGGACUAAUUAAAAGUUGACAUGUGUUGACAUAAAGAUGAUGCCACGCAUUUUCAUCGUUGGUUCAAGUUAAAGUUAACUAUUUUAGGUUCAAUUAAAUAUUAUUUAUUUGUACAAUUUUAGCCUAAGAGCUAAAUAUGACAAAAAUUUAUGUAAUAAGGUUAACUUAGUUGGAGAGCUAAAUACGACAAAAAUAUAUGUGAUUGGAUCAUGAGUCUGAUCCAUGAUCAACAAAGUCCAAGCCAUAGAAGACUAUAAUAGAAGAGUCCUCCUCAUCUGUGGAGAUAGAAAUUUUUACUCCAUAGGGUUAAAGAGAAUUCUCCUAAGAACAAGAAGACUCUCGUCGACCACCCUCCAAGAUUGAAGAAAAACAUUAUGUGUUGUAGCUUCCUCAAAUCAAACAUAUAGACAUUCAAUCGAGAGAAAAUUAAAGGAUCAAAUAUUAGAAAUAUUGUUUGGUCAAAUUGACACGUUCGAUGGAUAUCUCUACCUCUUAUCUCUCUCUCAUCAUCUAAAUCUACAAGCAAACCAAUGACAAUAAAGAAAGCUUAAUCCAAAUCUUCUAUAAGCGACACUUGCACAUCUUCUAUUGCAAGCGACGGUUACACAGGACUAGGACCUGUACCCACAGUGUUCAAGGGAAAUCAUCCAGGAGCAGAAUCAAGGUUCUGUCAUUGCGUAGAGCAUUCUUAAGCAAUUGAUGGAGUUUCCUAAAGUUGGGAUUGUCAUCAAGGAAUCCCUUGCUAUAAGAAGAUCGAUAAUCACGAUAAGGUAUAUAGGGAAUAAGUUCACACCUAAAUGAAAUGAAAUAGACCCUACAUUGUCAAAGAAGUUUACACAAAUGAAGUAUACAAGAUUGUUGAUCGAGAUAGAUUAAAAGUUGCCCCAAUCAAUGAUAGGAUUCUCAAGACAUUUUAUGUGUAACGUCAUUAUGUAAAAAGCUCUUUAUCGCAAGAGCUUAAACUGCAUAAUCUCCAAACCCACACGAGCUUAAAAGGUGAGUGAUAAAAAAAAAAAAACCCAAUCAAACUAUUUGAUCUCAAUGUUAUAAAAAUGGUACGUAGGCAGCUUAAUGUUAACUUUAAGUUCAGUUAUAUGUGCAAGAAAAAAGUUUAGUAAGCGACAUUAUGACUUAAUCUCAUAGUAAAUGGUAUGUAAGCAACAUAAAAUAAGAAAUUUUCAUUAUCAUUAAAGCAAAGUUUUGUAUUUACUGAAAUUAAAAAAAGAAAACGAAUAAAAAAAAGGGAAGGGGAGCAAAGUCAAAUCUUCCACGUGAAGCUCUUAAAUUCCUCGUGUGUAGCCUCCAUACUCUUAUGAACUGUAGCUAGAGCCUCGAUGACUUCUUCUUUGAUAGCCGGAGUGUUGACUUCAUUCUGGAUCUUUGCAACUUCUAGUUCUUUCUUGUCUAUGUCUUCGUUCUUCUCACAAGAUAAGAUAGAUAGAUGUUUAGACUCAGUAUUUAUACUUUGAAGUCUGCUUUCUAGUUCCAUCUUUUCCAAAGCCAAUUGUGCAACCCUCUCUUGAAUAACUUUGGCAUCUUUUCGUAAUUGGUUUAUCAAAGUUAAGGCUUCUUGUCUAAUUGAUGAGCUUUGUCUGUCGACGACAACUACGCAAAAUACGAAGAUUGUACAACAUUGAAAUUGUCUACCCUCUUAAAAUAGUUGUUUAAAUAUUCUUCAACAAGGAGUUAGGUUGUCUGCAUAGAUCUUCGCAAUUCUCGAAAGUAUCGUCGUUAUAUUUUGUCUAAAUCUUGAGAUAUAUUUAAAAAGAGUGCACAUGAUCUUGUCUUGAAUGUCCUCUCACAUGCAUAAAGCCGUUUUCUGAAGUAUGUUUGAAACUAUCUUUUCACCAACCCAUGAGAAGGCACAGGGUGUCCUACCAUCUGCUUCUUGGAAGUGUUUAAAGACAACUCAGAAAUCUGGAGAAGAGCAUGUGUGGAUAUGACAUUCUCUGAAGUUUCUUUGGGGCAGACAUUUCCUUUAGAUGGAGGAUUCAAAUUUUUAACAUUUUUUUCAUUCACUUUCAUCUUACCACGUCGAUUCUCCUCGAGGAGAGCACAUGAUUGUUCAGCAACUAGUAGUUUUUAGGUACCAACUUCUUUAAUGGCCAAAUCCACAACAUGAGGCCGUGUCAAAGAUUCAUCGUUGCAUUGCUCAAGCUCUUGAAGAUGAUCAUCUAAAGGUGACUAUAGAAAUAAGUAAUGAAUAAAUCAUCCACUAACAGAAUAAUAAUAAUAAUAAUAAUACAAGAAAAGAAAAAUAUGUGAACUAGUAGUGUCGAAACUUUAGGAAUUUUCAGAGCACUCAAACCCUUUCCAUAGAAAUCAUCACCCAAUGCCUUUGCUUUCUUCGAAGGUCUCUUGCAAUGACGAUCACUUUUGCUACCAUCACUUUCGUCUCUAAGCUCCUUGGCCUCCUUUUGGAGGGUAGGAGUCAUUGCUUUAACCAAAUGAAUAUGUUUACCACCUAGGUUACUCCCUCAAUUCUUGAGUAGUUUGGAUGCUCACCACAUGGUGUCUAUUAUCCUUAAAAUAUGUCUUGUGCUUUGUUGUCCACCAAUUUCUAAAUCGUGUUGUCACAUGCUUGCAAGACUCUAACGUAUGGGCAAGCAAGAACAACCCAAAUAAAGAUUUGCACCUCGUGCAUAUCUCCACCGAUAUAAUGUGUUAUUUGGUGUAAUAACAAGUGACAUUUCCUCUAUAUCAUUAGGUAUAUCUUGGUAAAAGCCAAACUACUCUUGAAAUUGAUAUGGACUCUAUGAUUGCACAGUUCAAACAUUUCCACAGCGAGAUAAUAAGUAGCAUCAGCGCAUACUUACAAGAUAGGAAGACUGAAGAAAUGAUGAGUCAUUAAUAUCAACCAUGCGUUCAUGCUUAUCGGUUUUGAAGGUUUGCAGGCCAUUGAAUUCUUGAACCAUUGUGGAUCAGUUCUAGCGCCUCAUAUUCUCCAAAAUAAAUAGACAUAUCUUCGUCAGAAAAGUUAGCCAAUUUGGGACCCGAAACUUCUGUUGGUAGAGGGUAAUGCGUGCCAAAAUAAUUGAAAAUUUAUGUUGAUUCAAAGAAAUUAAUGGUGGAAAAAAUUAUGGAUUACUGGUGGAUUCAAGAACUGUAACUAGUCAGGUCGAGGAAAUCCAAGUAAAUCCAUGCUGAGAAUAUGACCUUAAGUGAAUCUUUUUAGGUAUCAACAAUAAUUGAAAAAUUGUCACUCUCAUGGAGAGAUUUGAAAAAUUAUCUCAAACAUAAACGCAAAGAGAUAAAACUUGAGAAACUUGUGGAUCGGCUUGGGACUAAAGACAAUAAUAGAAAGGCAGAAAAGUGUGUAUUUUGGAUAGUACAAUAGAUCCCAAGGCGAACACCGUGAAAAAUAAACAACAAUGUAACAAAGAAAAGAAAGUUUUUUUGGUGAAGGUUUGAAUACAAAACCUUUUAUUUGUUUGAUUGUAAUAGAAGAUUUUUCUUCCCCCUCCAUCACUCUACAAUGACAAAUGAAUUUGAUGCCUUCUCAAUUUUCAAAAGUCCUAAAAAUAGUCUUCAAAUUUUAAAACGACACCAAGUUUUAGCAAUUCCUUGUAAAAAUACUCGUAAAUUUUAAAAAUGUGUGAAUACCUCAAUCACCCUCCUCUUCUCUUCCCCUUUUCUACUUCAAUGUACAACUAAACUCUUCUCUAUUUGUUCUUGACUCGACGUCAAUACCCUUUCGUCUUUCAUCUCCCUCUUCUUAUUUAUAUUGAUAUAUUAUAUUAGUGCUUCAUGUUCCCUAAACCAAGCAAGGUUUAGAGAAAGGGAAAUAGAAUUUGUUUUGGGAAAAGGGAAAAAAGGAAAAAGGUAAAAGAAUUGAAAUGAUAAAAGGUAGAGAAAAAGGAUUUGUACAAGUUGUUAGAAAAAAGAGAGAGAAAAAAAAGGGAAGUUGGGAAGUUGGGAGGUUGAGGGGACCAAUUAUGGGAAGUAUGUGAUGGGCAAUACACAAAGAAAAAGGCAGCCUUUAUUGAUGUGCCUUUCUCAUCAUCAUCUCACAAAGCUCAUCCAAUUCAAUAUAUGAAGAUUAAAUUACCAUUGCUUCUUGUUACUGUUACCAUUCUCAUCACUAUUUGACAAUAAAUGCAAUUAAAUUUACAACACUAACAAAAUUCAUAAAAGAAAGGUAGAAAUAAUAACAAUGUAAAUAAAUAAAUAAUUGAAUUAAAAAUGCGGCUAAAUUUAGAGAAAGAGAGAGUUACUUAAUAUUGACAUAUAAAACACAAAGUUCAAUUAUAUGUUAACUUUGAAAACAAUGUUCAAUAUUGUGUCAAUGCUAUGUUAGACAUCGUUGAAAAGUUAAAAAACCUAUUUCAUAUAAAGGUGAAAGAUGAUAUUUAUAAUCAUAUAUAGAUAUGGGAUGUAAUGGUUUUGGUUAAACUUAUAAUUUAACAAAAGAGAGAUAAAGGAUAAGAAAUCACUAUCCUCACCUAUAAACAUCUCUAUUACACAAAAGAAAAAGAAAAGAAAAGGGAAGUAAUUGUUGUGAUUGAUGAAGUCAUGAAUGCACAAGUCCAUACAAAUUGACUUUAGUACAAGUUUGAAAGUAUAGCUCAAGUUUGAAAGUAUAGCUUUGGCAUCAUUGCUAUUAGAAUGGGGAGCCAAAAGGACAAAUAAUAUGUUGGUACAACAAAUAUAUAAUAUCUCCUCCACUCCUAACUUUUUGUCCAUUUCAUUGUUGAACUAUCCAACUUUAAUCUUACCUUUUAUCUAUAAUCAUCUAACACACUUCUUCUUUAAGCUCUCAUAAACCCAUUUUUAUUAGUGUUGCAAUCAUUGCUUUUAAUAGAAAUAGAAGUAUCAACAUUUCAAUUUAGAGUAGUUGUUAAUGCUUAAUGCUUUUUUUUCUUUUUUAUAAAAUAAUUCAUGGAAGACGAAUAUGAGGAGUGAUUCAUAUGGAUGUAACAUCAUUUGAAUGCCUAUCUAAUAAAAAUGACUAGAGUUUUAGAAGUGACUCAAAAAUGAACUGAAUUUACUAAUUCAUCCUUAUAAAUUUGCAGUACACUUAUAAUUGAAAAACGCUAAUUGAUGCACGAUCUAUUGUACUUAAUGCUCGAUACUUGAUGUUCUAUGCUUUAUAUUAUAUUCUCUAUGUUAUAUUUUAGAUACUAGAUACUAGAUACUCACUCGAUGCUUAAUGCUCACUGUUCAAUACUUGAUGUUCUACGUUUUAUUUAUGUUAUAUAUAUGUUUAUCACUUGAUGCUCUAUACUUGGAAAAAAAAAAAGCAAAAAAGAAGAAAAAAAAGCAUUUAAAGUUAAAAGUGAUAAUUUUAGAUAGUGAUACGAUCGUUAACGUUUUUAAUUGGUUUAAAAAAGUAUGAGAUAUUUUAUUUGAGGUGAUAUAUGCAAAAAUUUCAAAUAAGGGUGUAAAACUUUAUAGCUAUAUUUGCAUUUAGAAUAAAUAUUUUAUAAGGUUAUUUAUCAUAAGACAACAAUAAAAUUGUCAUUAAACAAUCUUGAGAGGUUGGAUUUCAAAACUUUUACAAAUUUAGGAACAUUUUCAUUUAAUACUUCUAUUCAUUUGACAAUAUUUAUAGUGUUAUAUCAUUUAAAAUAAUUUAUAUUAUUCAAAAUCAAUUAUUUUGCUUUCGAUGCCUUUAAAAAUAGCAAUUGAUAAAAUAUUUACAAAAUUAAAUUUGCUAAUUUUGUCAAAUUAUUUUGUUGAUGGAAUUGAGUUGGUUAUUUUACCAACUUACUCUAACUCUCUCCAAUUCUUCGUCCAUUCAAUGUUUUAAAUGGUUUCCCCCAUUGGCCUCCAUUAACAAUUACCACUACCACACUUUGGUGACAUACUCCGACAACUUUGAGCUUAUAUGACCAACUUUGAUGAUCACCUUCACACAAGAAAUUUCAGUGACAUACUUCGACUUCUACCUUCGUGUCGCCAAUUUCAUCAACCAACUUGGGAUCCGCUAACCACCUCCGACGAAAAUCCUAGUGACUAACUCUAAUGACUACCUUUGCACAAGCAACUCCAUUGACAUAUUUUGAGCAGCCACCUUUAGGUGACCAACUCCGAAAACCAACUCUAGGCUCCAAUAACCACCUCUAACCACAAACUUCGAUGAAUAUCACUUUGGAUGAUCAACUUCAAUGACAACCAUCUCUGGCAACCAACACUAACAUAUAAUCAAGAGACCAACUUUGAUGAAGGCCACCUAUAAUGAGACCGUUAGUGAUAACUCUAUUUUUUGUGAACACGUAAAUAGACGUUUGCACAUUUCCUCCAACUAGUGGACAAACAACGAAACAAGAUAGGAAUUGUUCUCUUUUUAGCUAACAUUUAUGAUGGAGUUAAAAUUAACUGAGAGUUCAAAAUUGAAGGUUAGGGAGUAGAGAAAAAUGUUCAUUUUAUUGAAAUAUAAGGUGUCAAAGUAUGAUAUAUGUUUACUUGGUAGAAGUUUUGUUAGAUUUGAAGGAAUAGAAGAAAAAAAGCAUUUUUUAGUAAUUUUUUUUAUAGAAAAAGUAGUGUACAUUUGGAGGAAAAAAAAAAAACUCAAUACAAACUCAAUUAUGUUUUAGAAAAAACGCACCACAUAUACGUCAACAUAACUUUACACAAACUUUUAACUUAGCUCAACUCACUACUCCAAAGAUCCAAACACAGACAUUCUAACUUCCAAAUAAUAAUUACCAACCUAACUUAACUAUGCACAGUCAACAUCUCUUUAAAGCUUUGUUUGAAGCCUCAAAAUUCUGAGUGAUUUUAUUUUCUAACAGUUUCAAAUAAAUUUCGUUUUUUAUCACAUAAAAGAGAAGGAUUUUAAAAUUUGAAAUGAUUUCAAAUCAUGUUUUUAUUUGAAAAUUUUUCUUGCCAAAAUAAUCGGUUUUUGUAGGAUUUUAUAGGGUUUAGAGUAAAUUAUAUAAUUGACCUCGUCAUUUUCUAAUUUUCAAGUAACAAUCAUAGAUAAAAGUCUAAUUUAGUGAAUUCUUAACUUUUUUUUUUUUUAAAUGCAUAAAAGUCUAAUUUUCAAGUAACAACGAAACUGUUGAUGUGCACACGUGUGUGUGUGUCUGUGUGUGUGCUUAUGUGUGUCUGUGUGUGUGCGGACGCGUAUGUGCUUGUGCGCGUGGGUGUGUCGGUGUGUGUGCGCUCAUACGUGCGUGUGUACGUGUGUGCGCAUUUGCCCGUGUCCGUGUGUGCUUGUGUGUGAACAAGUUGAUAUAUUUUAAUGUUGAGUUUCUCUCAAUUUUAAAAUAAUAAUUUUAUUAUCUUGAUAUUCAAGUCAUUAAUGUUAUUUUGAGAUAAAAGAUAGCGAACAAGUUGAUAUUUUUUAAUUUUGAAAUUCAAUUUAGGUUAUUUUAAUACAAAAUCUAUCUGAGAUUUUGAAAUUUUGAAAAAUAAUAAUUCUGUUAUUUUGAAAUUCAAUUUGGUUGUUUUGAAAUUUCAAUUCCAUUAGGUUAUUUUGAAAAUUGUAAGAUUGAGUAAAUUUAUGAAAAUCUUGAAUCAAUUACUUGAGUCUCGAGAUAUUAAGAAAAAAUUUAUGAUAUAGGUUUAUGUAUCUUUUUCAGAUAAAAAAAUAAUUAAAAGUUGAUAAAUGCAUAACAUAAACUAAUUACAAAGUAGAAACAAAAUAAUUACAGUUGGAGAAGAUGGAUAUUUUGGUAUUUUAGAAAAUAUCAUGCACGUGAUAGAAUGCUAUUUGCUAAAAUUCAAAAGAAAAAGUAGUUUUGUCAUUUUUAAAAUGACCCAUAAAAACGUUGUUAUAUCUCUUAUGACAAAGAGUGUGGAUCUACUGGUCCAUAUUCGACUUGUUUUUUGUUGGUAAAAUUGGAUAAAACUUCAUUAUAUUAAAAUAAUUACACUAAUGACACUUUUCAACCAAUAUUGAUAAAAAUUGUUAUUUAAUUAAUGUUAUUAAGUCAAAUGAAUAUGGUUUAAAAGUUUUUCUAUACACAAUUAAUUUAAUUAUUUUUAAAUUUUAAUUCAUUUACACAUCUUUAUACAUAUGUGUGUGUGUGCGCAUGUGUUCGUGUGUGUGUGCGUGUGCGCGUGCGCGUGCGUGUGUAGGUAAGUGUGGAUGGGUGUGCGUGCAUAUGUAUGUGUGUGUGUGUGCAAAAGUGCGUGCGUGCGCACGUGUGCGAGUGUGGUUGCGUGCAUGUGUAUGUGUGCGUUCGUGCGUGUGUGCGUGUGCGAACAUGUUGAUAUUUUUUAGUGAUGAGAUUCUUCCAAUUUUAAAAUAAUAAUUUCGUUAUAUUGAUGUUUAAGCCAUUAAUGUUAUUUUGAGAUAAAAAUAGCGAACAAGUUGAUAUUUUUUAAUUUUGAAUUCAAUUAAGGUUAUUUUGAUACAAAAUCUAUGUUGAGAUUCUCAAAUUCUGAAAAAUAAUAAUUUUGUUAUUUUGAAAUUAGUAAGAUUGAAUAAAGUUAUUAAAAUAUUGAAUCAAUUAGUUGAGUCCCAAGAUAUUAAAAAAAAAGUUGCAAUAUGGAUUAAUUAAAAGCUGAUAAAUGACAUAAAUUAAUUACAACGUAGAAACUAAAUAAUUACAGUUGGAGAAGGUGGAUAUUUUGUAAAAUACCAUGCACGUGCAAAAAAUGUUAUUUGCUAAAAUUCAAAAGAAAAAAUAGUUUUUCCAUUUUUUAAAAUAACUCAUAGAAAAGUUGUUAUAUCUCUUAGGACAAAGAGUGUGGAUCUACAGGUCCAUAUUCGACUUAUUUUUUGUUGGUAAAAUUACAUAAAACCGCAUUAUAUUGAAAUAAUGACACUCUUAAACCAUAGAAAUUAUAAUUUAAUUAAUGUUUUUAAGUCAAAUGAACAUGAUUUUUACUCCUAAACAUAAUUAUUGUAAAUGUUUUUUAAUCUUAAUUCAUUUACACAUCUUUGUGCAUAUGUGUGCAUGCGCGUGUGCGUGUGGGUGAGUGUGCGUGUACGCUAGCGUGUGCAUGUGUGUGUGUUUGUGCGUGUGUCCGUGUGUGCGCAUGUGCACGUGUGUGUGUGUCUGUGUGUGCUCAUGUGUGCGUGUGCUUGUAUACGAACAAGUUGAUAUUUCUUAAUGUUGAGUUUCUUUCAAUUUUAAAAUAAUAAUUUAAUUAUUUUGAUAUUCAAGUCAUUAAUAUUAUUUUGAGAUAAAGAUAGUGAACAAGUUGAUAUAUUUUAAUUUUGAAAUUCAAUAACAUAAUUGAGAUUAUGAAAUUCUGAAAAAAUAAUAAUUUUGUUAUUUUGAAAUUCAAUUUGGCUAUUUUGAAAUUCAAAUUCAAUUAUGUUAUUUUAAAAUUCAAAUUCAACAUGCGUGCGUUCGUGCGUUUGUCCAUGUGUGUGUGUGCGGGUGUGUGUGAGUGUGCGUGCGUGCGUGUGUGUGUGCGUUCCUACAUGUGGGUGUGUGUUCGUGUGUGCGAACAAGUUGAUAUUUUUUAAUGUUGAGAUUCUCUCAAUUUUAAAAUAAUAAUUUAGUUUUCUUGAUAUUCAAGCCAUUAAUAUUAUUUUGAGAUAAAGAUAUCGAACAAGUUGAUAUUUUUUAAUUUUGAAAUUCAAUUAAGGUUAUUUUGAUACAAAAUCUAUCGUUGAGAUUCUCAAAUACUAUUAAAUUAUAAUUUUGUUAUUUUGAAAUUCAAAUUCAAUUUGGUUAUUUUGAAGUUAGUAAGAUUGAAUAAAAUUAUUAAAAUGUUGUUCUCAAAUUAUAUAAAUUUGGUUACACUAGAAGAAAUUUGCCAUUCAAUAUCGGUUUAAAAUCGACAUUAAUGAUCUUUGGUGUCAGUUCAGAACGACAUUAAUGAUCUUUGGUGUCAGUUCGGAACUGACAUCUAUGCUAGCGUUAUUAAAGGCCUUUAAUGUCUUUUUUGCUUUGAUGUCGGUUUAAAAACGAUAUCAAAUGCAUCAGUAAUGUCGGUAUGGUCAUUGAUGUUGGUUUAAAACCGACAUUUUUUAUGGUGAUAUUGUUGACCUUUAGUGUCGGUUUGCCUUUGAUAUCGUUUUUAAACCGACAUUAAAGUCUUGUUUUUGGAUCUAUUUUACAAAAAAAAUAUAUAAUUAUUGCAUUAUUGUUCAUUUUUUAUAAACUGACAUUAGAUACAUGUAAAUAAAUAUUUUUUUCUCACACCAACAAAUCAAUAAAAUUAAUAUUAUUUUAGGAACUACAAUAUUUUUCUUUUACAUUUGUAUAUAGAAAAUGAAAUCUUAAUAUUGCGUUUGUAUAUACAUUCUAUAAUAAUACAUGAAACUAGAUCCUAAUACAAGACUUAAAUAAGAAAUCUUAAACGCUUUCACAAUCUUCAACUUCAACAAUUGCUUCCAUCUACUUAGCUUAGCUUGGCUGGCUAUCUAAGACCAAAAUAUACUUUACAACCUGGGGAAGAUUAAAUCUAGAAUUUGCAAAAUUAGUACAUAUUAUUUAAAAUCAAACUAAACAGACUGCAAUCUAAAUGUGGAAAAUUAAAAAUUACCACAAAGUUUCAGUAGAGUAAAUAAUGUAGCAGCAACAAAGAAGACAAUUGAAAUGGCAACCCAAAAGUGCUGCAAAAAUAAAGAAGAAAAUAAGCUUUGAUCAAACAACUCAUUAAGAAGAAGAAAAUAACCUAAUUUGGUUCUUCAAAGAUCUAUAAGAAAAAGAGGAAUACAACUAAAGAAUAAUUAUACCAUCCUCGACUCUUACUUCAAAGCAAAUUUUGAAUGUUCAAUUUAGCAAUGCUAGUCUAUAGGCUUCUUACUCUUAAUUGUAUAAAUUUACCCAUCAAUAGCAACAUUGUUUUUAUAGAGAAAGUUAAACAAUGGAGAUGAUAAAUAAUCUUACAAACUCCUAUUGGAUCGUUUUUCUUUUCAAAUGAAAAUAGUUAAUUUAUUUCAUUUAUGGAAGGUGAAAAUCUCAAAUAUAUAGUAAAAGAACAUGGAAUAUAAGGAAGCCCAUAAAAAGAAGAGACUCCACUAGCUAGGUAUUGAUCAAAGAUAAAUAUAUGGAUAAAUAGAUGCAACCUACAAAUAUAUCAAAACAGACUAAUACUCAAACUAAACUAAAGAAAACAAAAACAUUUACUACUAAAAGAUAAAAUAAAACACAAUUCAAAACAAUUAAUUACCAAGAUUGAUCUCAAUCGAAAACCAAAACGCAUCACAUUAUGAAGAUAUUGUGCUUCACAUAACACUCCAAAUAGCUAUACCAAAAUUACUUACUCUACAUUUUCCAUUUUGGCAAAUCCACCUACAAGAAUGCUAGUUACCAAGCUCAUUUCUAUGCCUUCUCUUCUUUCAUUUUUCUAACAAAAGAUAGUAUGAAUAAGGCUGCACAUUUGAAAAAAUAAAGACAAUUAAUAAUCAAUAAUGCUACCUAGCAGUCACAAGUUAACAAUCAAAUGAAGAAACCCAAGGAUUUUUGCGGCGGAAGCACGAUGAAGAUUGGUUGCCGUUCGCGAUCUAGGGUCACAGAUUGAG